CUGCCAUGGAGUGGAGGGCGUGAUUGGAAAUUUUCCCCCUAGCGAAGGCAAAUCGGUGAACCACCAGAGCGCCAAUUGCCAGCUGAUGUGUUCUGACCGAUUUGCCCCUGCGUGGAUGUUGUACAUAGCGAGGUCACACGGGGAUGGUGGAGGGUAGAACGAGGAUUCAGCCGCAUUUUCUACUGCACCUCAACAAUUUUAGGACCUGCUGUCUUGUGGGAAUUCUUCUUCUUCUUCUGAGUGUUCUUGUAGCUAGCUCUAGAUCAAGCUCUCGUAGCUGCAUGAAGCCUCUUCUUACUCUUUUUUGCUAGGGAUUUUGAGGUCUUGAUAACACAUCAUGUAAGCCGCAAGGUUGGCCUCAUGUGAGUGAAAUGGAUGAUUUUGCCACUGCAAAAGUUUGAUACAGGAUCUGAUGGUGUAAAAUACAAUGCACCUCCAUGGAUCUCCAGCUAGCUCUAGCAGCUCUGGCAGCCUGUCAUGGAGCACAAUGGUGUACAACAAUGAUUGACCAUUUGAUAGUACUGCUAAACAACUUGGGCAUGUGGAUGUUUUUUUUAACCUGAAAAUCUAGGUUUAAUGGGCAGGUUCAAUAUAGCUGAGUGCAUAUAGAGCCAUACAGUGCGUGUGUAUAGGAUUUUCCAGAACUUUUUUCAAAACGGAGUAAAAAAAAUGUGCCUCAUCCAUUAAGUAAAAUAAAAUCGUAAAUGUAUGUAAUUAACAAAAAAAACAGGUGAGAACUCAGUCAGUUGAAUAGUGCACACAUGAUUUUUUAUUUUAUUUUUUAGAAAAGGAGGAUUACCCCGGUCUCUGCAUCUGAGCGAUGCAUGCAGCCAUUUUAUUAAUUAUUCUUAAACUCCCUUACAAAGUAGUACAUCAUGUAGUCUGAAGUCACCAUCUUAGCAACAAUUUUCGCUACUCCUAUCCACUUGAUGAAGGGGUGUCGAUAGUUUAAGCCUAAUACCAAACAAACAUCACAUUAAAGCCUAACAUUUAAAGACGGAGGCCCCAACAAAGCCGCAUAUUAGGUUUGGGGUACAAACCGGUCUGAUGCACUCUCAUGUGUCAUCGCCAUCAUCUUCCACCAAUCCAUUUUCAGAGUGAAAACUAGUGAAAACAAACGCGUCGACCUUACCAGGCCUCUCUGCCGUCGACGCCACCAUGACGCCAGGUAACGUCCUCUUCCUGCGUGAGUCCAUCUUUGCGCAUCGGGCGUCGAGUCCCACUGCGCCACGCCGCCAAGGAUCACCACCAUUAAUGUCUAAGAUGAAGCAGCCCCCAAAGAAGCCGUCCACUGGUCCCUUGAGCUCAUGUACACCUCCAAGAAUGACGCCCUCAAGGAUAAGAACAACACGCACAGGAUAGGCCACAUAGUCUGAAGAGAGUCUCGUCCAGAUAGCACAUAGGCAGGAUCGUCAUCCCUUUCUCUCCAAGCAGGUGUCAUCGUCAUCAUUUGUCCUCGAGCAAGGGACUGCGACUUCGCUGCUAAUAUUCCAGAACUUUGAAGAAAUUGUAUUGCUUGUGUUAAAGAAGAAGAAGAAGAAGAAGAAGAAGAAGAAGAAUUGUAGAGUGCGGCGUUUCUGCUCCCGAGCUCAUUUGCACCCCCUCUGACGAAAAAAAUCAAAAUAAAUACUAAAAAAUUUCAAAAAAUGCCAAUUUUUUUGUGUGGUAGAUAAGUUUGUGCGUGAGGUGCGCUUCAAGUUUCAACUCAUUUGGACAUCUAAGCUACUCCUAGCAAAAAAGACAAAUUCAGGGUCUGUAAAAAAGUUUACUGUUCACACUGUUCUGACCCGAUUUGUUUUUUCUUUUGCUGAGAGCUGCUCAGAUGUCCAAAUAAGUUGAAAUUUGAAGCGAACCUCACGCAUACAAUUGUCUGUCAAUGAAUUUGUUUGAAUUUUUUUGAAUUUUUUUAUUUGUUUUCUGACCGGGUGCAAAUGAGCUUGGGCAUGAAAUUGGGUUUUUCAGAAUUGUAUUGCUUCAGAACUAGUCGUCACAUUCACUAACAAAAACCAUUAGAUUCAUAGUGUCCGUCCAAUGAUGUACGUGUCAAGAUCAGCCAUUUGGGGUCGGAUAGACAAGAGGCCAUGUGCAGCGCAGCAAAACACAAGUCUAUGUACCUAUGUACGUACAUAGCCGCCGAGUCGUGCUUGGCUUAGUAGUUAGUUUAUUAUUCACCUAGACGGAGGGAGUACUACAGUAAUAGUAGUGUAAAAAACGUUCUUAUAUUAUGAGACGGAGGAAGUAGUUUAAUUUAAUUGCUUUGAUUUGAUUCACUCGCUUUCGGUUGGGCUUCAGGACAAGCUCUCCUCUGCGUGUGAGUAGCUAGGCAACGACAUGGGGGCGACGUAGGGGCUAUCUGCUAAUCAAAAUUAGGCAGAUCUCCAUACGGACACAUGCCAGUCCAAAGCAUUCACUGACAUCCGACCGAGCCGCGCUCAUCUUCUUUUUCUCUGCGGUCGUUGCCUGCAGGUGAACGGGAAGAAAUGCUCGACUACUACCCGCGCCGUAACGUAGAUGUACAAAACCGCCGGAAAGUAAUAGACAAGGGUUUUAGGGUUUGUGGCACAGCUCCAACACGUGGGGUGGCCUUUCCAUUAUAUAGAGAGGUACAUAAUAAUGUACAACACAAUUACAAAGUGGGACCCAGUAUAUACAGAGUCUAACACCCUCCCUCAAUCUUAACCGUGCUCAGAAGAAUUCACCAGGUUGAGAUUGUGCCUACACCCUUCAAACUGAGGAAGAGGCAGUGGCUUCGUGAAGAUGCCAGCAAGUUGAUCUUUCGAGGAGAUGAACUUGAUAAGAAGCAGUUUCUGGGCAACACGUUCCCUGACAAAAUGAUAAUCAACUUCGAUGUGUUUGGUGCGAGCAUGAAAGACUGGAUUUGAAGACAAAUACGUCGCACCAAUGUUAUCACACCAAAGUACCGGCGGCUGCUUCUGAGGGAUCUUCAACUCUCUGAGCAAAAACUGUAUCCAAAUAAGCUCUGCUGUGGCAUUUGCAACUGCUUUGUACUCAGCUUCGGUGCUACUGCGGGACACCGUUGCUUGUUUACGAGCACUCCAGGCGAUCAAGUUCGAACCAAGGAACACUGCAUAUCCCCCCAUUGAUCGUCUGUCAUCCGGACUCCCAGUCCAGUCUGCAUCAGAGAACGCAGAGAGAACUUCAGAGGGGGCCGGUUGCAGAUGCAAGCCAUAAGAAGAAGUGAACCGGAUGUAGCGCAAGAUGCGCUUAACCGCAGUCCAGUGAGAGUCUCGAGGAGCAUGAAGAAACUGGCAGACACGGUUGACAGCAUAGGAGAUAUCAGGACGAGUGAUAGACAAGUACUGCAAGCCGCCAACAAUACUGCGAUACUCAGUAGCCUCAUCAGCAGAGAGGAGAGAACCAUCGAGAGCAGAUAGUCGGUCAGUGGAGGACAUAGGUGUAGUAGCCGUCUUGCACUGGAGCAUACCAGACCGUCGAAGAAUAUCGAGAGAAUACUUCUGCUGAGUGAGAGUCAAGCCGGAACCAGAGGACAAAACUUCGAGCCCAAGGAAAUAGUGAAGCUGCCCAAGAUCCUUAACCGCAAAAUCAGCACUCAAAGCAGAAACCAAGCGAUCCGCAGCAUAGUCCGAGGAGCUGACCAGGAUGAUAUCGUCAACAUAGACCAGUAGGUACAUAGUAACUGUAGGUCGCUGAAGAAGAAAUAACGAGGUAUCAGCCAGAGAGGGAACAAAUCCAUGAGCCCGAAGGGUGGUGCCAAGACGCGCAUGCCAAGCACGCGGAGCCUGCUUCAGGCCAUAGAGUGCCUUAACAAGACGACACAGAUGCUGCGGACGAGCUGGAUCAACGAAACCGGGAGGCUGACGCAUGUAAACCUCCUCCUUAAGAACACCAUGAAGGAAAGCAUUCUGAACAUCAAGCUGACGAAGAGACCAUCCACGGGUAAUAGCCAGUGAGAGCAGAAGCCGGAUCGUGGUAGGUUUGACCACUGGACUGAAGGUGUCCUCAUAAUCAAGGCCAUGGCGCUGUUUGAAUCCUUUAGCAACCAGUCGAGCCUUGUAUCUCUCGAUAGAACCAUCAGCAUGUUUCUUUACCUUGAAAACCCACUUCGAAUCAAUGAUGUUGACACCAGCCUUGGGAGGAACCAGUCAUCACGUUUCAUUCUUAAGAAGAGCGUGGUAUUCUUGUUCCAUCGCAGUACGCCAGUGAGGGAUACUCAGGGCAGCCUGAAAAUGCCGAGGCUCAGCAGUAGGGUCGGACUGGGCCUGCGCCAUGCAAGUCGCAAGCCAGGCAACCGUGCCAUCCGUGCGUUCCUUAGGACGAAACACCCCACUUUUGUUGCGUGUAUGAGGACGCAACACAGGGGGCGGAGCAGGUGACGAAAUCGACGGUGAGGAUGACGAAGGAGAGGCAGCAUCCGUCAUGGCAGAUGCCGAUGCAGUCGGUGACGGUGACGAGGAAGACGCAGCAGGAGACGCCAACCCACUGGAGGGCGACGCCGAUCCAGGCGAGUGGGACAAGUGCCGAACAGGCGACGAGGACGGCGGGGGGGCUCCCAGGCGGGGACGGCCCAUGCGUCGGUGCAGGUGACGGCCCAGGCGUCGGUCCAGAGGAUGGCCCUGGCGUCGGUGUCGGGGACGCCGGUGCAGACGAGACGGCCCGCUGGGCCGGAGUGUUGACGCGCGGCACAGCAGCUGCGAUCGCGGGCGCAGGCGGGCUCGUUGCAUGGGACAUGCACGAAGCCAGCCGAUCGACGUGAGCGGGCGAGGAUGACGUAGCAGUCGGGGACGAGGGAGCCGGAGGGUCAACCUCGUCCAGGAGCUCCAGCCGCGCACAUCUCCCAAUACCUGCACCAUGGUUAGACAACAAAGAGGGCGAAUGUGCAGAAUCUACAAAUUGAUCAAGCAAUAUAGUGGAUGGGUGCACUGGCGGUGUGGAGCUUGUGUCAGGUGGGGGAAGAACAGCAAAGGGAAAAACGUGCUCAUCGAAAACGACAUCUCGGGAGAUAUACACACAAUUAGACGGGACAUGAAGGCACUUAUACCCUUUGUAAACGGAACUGUACCCCAGAAAGACACACUUCUUUGAACGGAACUCAAGCUUGCGAUUAUUAUACGAACGGAGAUGCGGCCAACACGCACAACCGAACACUUUAAGAAACGUGUAAUCAGGAGUCUAACCAAGCAAGAGUUCAGGUGGAGUUUUCAUAUGAAGGAGCCGCGAAGGAAGCCUAUUUAUAAGAAAACAGGCUGUAGUAAAAGCAUCACUCCAAAAACGAAACGGGGCAGAUGCAUGAGCAAGCAAGGUUAACCCAGUUUCAACAAUAUGACAGUGCUUACGUUCAGCUGAACCAUUCUGCUGAUGUGUAUGUGGGCAAGAACGAUGAGCAAUUCCAAGUUUUUCAAAGAAAGUACUGAGAUUGCGGUACUCACCCCCCAGUCUGACUGUACAUGAAUGAUUUUAUGAUUAAGGAGUCGCUCAACAUGUGCUUGAAAUUGUAAAAACACAUUAAACACAUCAGACUUAUGCUUAUUAAGAUAAAUCCAGGUAAAGCGACUAUAAGCAUCAAUGAAUCUGACAUAAUAUUCGUGCCCACUAACGGACAGCUGGGCAGGACCCCAUACAUCUGAAAACACAAGCUCAAGAGGAGUUUUGACUAUAUGUGUAGAAACAAAAAAAAAGGUAACUGAUGACUCUUGCCUUGUUGACAGGCAUCACAGACGGCAGCAUCUUUAUUACUAGACUCGGACGGUAGCUCAUGACACUGGAGGACAUGGCGAAUAAUGGGUGAUGCUGGGUGACCAAGGCGAGAGUGCCAUAGUGAAGGAGACACACAAACGGCACUGAAGACUUGGAACGCAGCAGCAGGAGCAGGAACGUCGGUGGGGGCAUCAAGAGCAUAUAAACCACGGCGGUAGCGACCUCUAAGAAGUAUGUUCCUCGUAGCACGAUCCUUAACAAAGAGAUGAAACGGGUGAAACUCACAGAAAACAUUAUUAUCCUGUGUAAGUUUAGGAAGAGAGAGUAAGUUACGUGCAACUGUGGGAACACGAAGAACAUUUCUAAGAUGCAAUGUCCUAGAGGUGUUUGUGAGAAGUGAUGCCUGACCAACAUGCAAAAUGUGCAUACCUGCCCCGUUAGCUGUGUGAACCUUGUCAUGCCCGCGGCAAGGCUGCUGAACAGUUAGCUUGCCCAGCUCGUUCGUGACAUGCAUUGUUGCUCCAGUAUCCAUGUACCAAGAAGGAUCAACAGGAUAAGAAGGAGUGUGACCCUGUUGCGCCAUGUUAACUUGACGUUCGUUACCCUUGCCAUUAUUGCCGAGGCCGUGGAAGUCCGUCUUGAACCGGCGAUGACAGCGGGAGGCGACAUGGCGAGGUAGGCCACAGAGCUGACAUGGCUGAGCCGAACCACAGGCGGUACAGCAGGCGCAGGCGCGGCCGUCAACGACAACUACCGGGGCGCCAGGACGCGGGGCCUGCUGCUGCUGUGCCGAGGGUGCACCACCACCGGACUUGCCCCCCCCCCCUCCCGAGGACGAAGCUGCAGAGGGGCCACGGCCGCCGCCUUUGCCGCGGGACACGGCAUUGACGCAGGAGUCAAUGGAGACGUCGGGGCGGCGCGCAUUGAGCCGUUGCUCCGUACACAGGAGACGACUUUAGAGUUCCUGAGGACGAAGAGGCUCCUUGCGUUCAUUAAUCACCUCGGCAAGCGAGUCGUAGUCGCUGUCGAGGCCGGCUAGGAUGAAGGAUGUGAACUCGCUGUCAUGAAGGGGCUCUCCAAUGGAAGCAAGAGUGUCGGCCAACUUCUUGAUCUUGUUGUAGAAGGCGGUCACCGUACCAUUGUCCUUGCGAGUUUCACCAAGCUUGGCACGGAUGGCCAUGGAUUGAGCAGUAGACCGAGACGAAAAACUCGACUCCAGGAUGUCCCACACCUCAUGAGAGGACGAGCCCGGCCACACCCUCACCCAGACAAGACUGGAUGGCUGAGAGGAUGGCCUGGUCCUGAGCGAUCCACGCACGGAACAUCGGAUGAUGUGGCGGUGGACACGACAGGGUACCGUUGACGAACCCCUCCAAAUAAUGGUUGCGAAGGAGAGGUAGCACCUGAGCACGCCAGUACAGAUAAUUGUCCGGUUUAAGCUUCACCGGAAGGAGGUGCGAGAACAAAAACGGCGGCGAGGAGAUCGCGGCCAGAGCAGCUUCAGCAUCCACAUAUGGCGUAGGAGAGGGCAUCGGUGCAGACGGAGCCGCAGCCGGUGCAUACAUGUGUGAGGCGCCGUAUGGGUAGGGCGCACCAUAGGGCGGCGGAGCCGGAUACGCGCCCUGGCCAGGGUACGCGCCAUAGGAGGGACGCGCAGGUGGCGAUGGGCCGUACGAGGCCACAUACAGCGGGUAGCCGCCAGGGCCGCCGUGAUUGACAUGGGCGACGUCGGCAACAGUAGGGCCGACUGCGGUGUAGAUGGAGGCAGCCGGAGCAGGUGCGACCGCACGCAUCUGGUGCGACGCAGUAGGUGGCGGCGGCGCGGGCACAAGGGAGUGCAUGGCAGCCGGAGGCGGCGGCGGUUGCUGGGACCGGGCCGAAGCAGCGGGCGAUGAGGAUGACACGCCGGCGUACAGCGAAGACACCGGGCCGGCGAAGAGAGACCCCGCCGAUUGGGUCUGCAGGGGGCCGAGCGAUCCAUCCUCCGUGUAGGGCACAGUCCCGGCGUUGAGGAGACGCGCGAGGGACGGCGGGAGGAACAAGUGGUCCAUGUGGAUGGGGGCCGGCGGCAGAAGGGCGGGGAAGGAGACCGCGGUGCCGGCGGCGCUUGAGGCGACGGCGGCGGCUGGCGGCGGAGGCGAGCGGAAGACAUUAGAUCGUUAGGUCGGAUACCAUAAUAGACAAGGGUUUUAGGGUUUGGCACACCUCCAACGUGGGGUGGCCUUUCCAUUAUAUAGAGAGGUACAUAAUAAUGUACAACACAAUUACAAAAUGGGGCCCAGUAUAUACAGAGUCUAACAGAAAGCAACGGCAAAACCGUUGAUCAGUUCCACGGGAUUAGCUAAUUUGGGUCAAAAUAUCUAGGAUUUUUUAAACAGCGCUGAUACAAUCAUCCAAUCCAACCCGUGAACUUCAGUUUUUUGCCUUGACUGCAACUUGAUUAAUUUGCUUAUGUCAUUGGUCGGACUGGAUUGUAUUGCAUUUAGUAAGAAGACUGUCUCGUUGAUUUUAUCGUCGUGGCCGAUAAUUGCGUCAUAAUAGCAUGGGGUGACUCGGGUUUGAAUUUCGGUCAGGAUAUUCAGCAGAACAUCCGAGAACCUGAUAAGAACAUGCCCAUCUCGAUCGACCGAUGCAUGCUUGCGUGGCCACCGACGAGUAGCCAAGCAAACAACUGAGCGAUUAUCGUCAAAGUCUAAAAGUGUCCGUGUCCUUUGAUGUGGACGCGGAGACAAAUUCAACUUCGAACAAAGCUAGGCGGGGUUAAGACGCGAGUGUUGUCAUCGCCAUGAAUUUAUAUUUAGAGAGAGUGAUUGUGAAGACCGAUAGGAUGAAUUCUUAAACUGUUUGCUGGCUGGCCACAAAAAUCCACUUUUACGUGAAUACUACGUACGUACACCACUAUGCAUCUGCCAACAAAAGUUAAUAACAUAAUAACAUCAUUGUUAAGCGAUGGUAUAUAGCAUAGCAAUACUUAUCAUCUACUUAGGGUUUGCCCAGGAGUUAUUAGUUUAACAGGAACGAUCACGCAAGCUCCAAAGGCAAGUGGGGGAUCGAGACUGACAUCAAGCAGAGCACAACCAAGCAGAGCACAAACAAUGACAAAACAGGCCUAAGAUAUGGUGAGGUAGACGCCAUUAUUAGAGUACAGAACGGAGUCCACUAUAACGGAAAACUAAAGCCGGACUCCCACCGCUGGAGCGCUGCCCGUGAUUCCGGACUGUACGGCAUGGGCCCCACGAGAGAUGUGAGAGUUUUGGCUUAAACUAGGCAGGGCAAAGCCUUUGGUAGAAGUACGUACGUGAGUAGUAUAACUGGUUAGGCGUACUACCAGUAGUUGGCAUCUCGACGACGAGGUGUCUACGGUAACUUCGUAAAUUUGAAGAUGAUAUGUCGGCUCAGUCUUUAUGAGGUGCUCAUAGGGGUAGGGUAUGCGUGUGUGCGUUCAUAGGGAUGAGUGUAUGUGCGUGUAUAUGAGCGCUUGCGUCUGUACUGUGUUAAAAAAAAUCACUACACUUGCGCGACCUCGUUUUGUUUAUUGGAUUUUUUUGAGAACUUGUUUAUUGGAUUCAUGGCCGGGACAAGGUCCUGUCGCCGGGAGGACGCCGGACAACCAGAGCCAGGGGAGUUGGGUGGCCAAGCGAGGCGGAGCAUACGGGAGGGCGGAGGUGGGGGACGCGUCGCGCCAGGGCAAUGCCGGUGACGACGGCGGGGACGGACUGCGGCGGCGACGCCAGAUUUGACCCAGAGGGGCACCAUCGGGAAGGCCACCUGGAAGCGCGGGAGGGAGAGACACCACCGGAUCCACCACCAGGACGAACGUCGUCGGCCGUCAGGCCGCCAGGAGGGGCGCCGACGAGCCACUAGGUGGCGGGCCGCCAGCGGCGGGGCCUCGCAUGAGGAGAGCCGCACCACAGGGGGGAAAUCACGCCGCCGCCGCUACGACGCGGGUUUCGCCCGGUAGUGGUCUCUAACGUCGGCAGGGGGUAGCCGGAGAAGGGGUGGGCCGGCCGCGGCGCAGUUGCCGGCUGCUGCCUGUGUCGCCUAGGGUAGGCGUCGCGGGGCCGAGCUGGGGUGUCCCUAACGGGAACCAACUGACGAACGCGGCAUCAAACCGCCUUGCUAGUUGUUUGUCUCCUUUUUUUUACGGGAACACUAACGCCCACACGUGUGGGCGUUUGCAUCUCACCCACACGCGUGGAUCCGCGUACGUUUGUGGGUUCAUGAAUCUUGGCAUGUUUGUGGUGCCAUGUAGGACUUGGCUGGUGUGUGGGCAUUCACCCGGUAGCCCACACGUUCGUUUCACCACACGGAGGGGCCGGUAUGUGGGCGUUUAGCAGUUCGUCCACACGCUAGUUUUCACUCACGCACAAGGGCUGGUGUGUGGGCAUUUGCCAUCUCGCCCAGACGCCCAUCUCCUCUUUCCACACCCAAGCUGCCAGUUUUCAUGCGUUUUGCAGUGUACAUGGCAACUGCCCUAGCGUGCUUGUAAGCAGAUGACAACUCUAUUUUUUUACCCGAACAUGUCAGUUGCCAUGUGUUUUGCAGGUUACACGACAACUGCCCUAGUGUGCUUUGUAAGCAGAUGGCAACUCUUUCUUUUAUCCGAACAUGUUGUUUUGCCAUGUCUUUUUGUAGCGCUACACGGCAACUGCCUAGUGUUAGUAGGUGGCAACUCCUAAGGUUUUCAAAUCAUGACAACUGUAGUAAACCAGAUCAUACAUGGCAACUGCUUAGUGUUAGUAGGUGGCAACCUCUAAAGUUUUCAAAUCAUGGCAACUAUAGUAAACCAGACCAUACAUGGCAACAGCUGCAGUUGUCCAAAAUGGCAUCUGGCACUUGACUUGAGAUGACAACUGCAGUUGAGCAACCAUGGCAACUGUAGUUGUUCGACAUGGCAACUAUAGUUCAGCGAUAUGACAACUGCAGUUAAACGGACAAUGAAGAGGGUCCGGACCAUGGCAACUGUGGGGACGCGUGGUGACUGUCACGCGGGGCGUGCGAGACCGUGAGAUAGGUGGCUGAGAGAGGUCGUGUGGGCGUUAUGCAUUUUGCCCAUACGUAGGCGUGUGAGAGAGACCGCAAGGAAAAAGUAGACGUGUGGGCGCUAAUUGUUUUGCCCACACGUAGGCGUGUAGGCUGGUUCUCUUAGACAUCACACAAAACGUGUGAGCAAACCUCUUAACACCCACACGUGUGGCAGUUAUCGUCGUCUUUUUUUAUGGGGGCGUAGAGUAGUACAAACGCAGAACUUUGCAUUACCAAAUUUUAACUAGCUUAGAUUAUACUAGUAUAUUGUCGCCACCAAGGCAACGUACGUACGUGCUUUGCAGAGGAUACAACUUGAACGAGCACAUAUAAUUAUAGAACAAUGCUAUUUUUUUAGACAAAUUAGCAAAAAGGUCCGUGUGUUGCAACGGAAGAAAAAAUACUACACACUCUUAAUUUACCAAAAAAGUUUUAUAAUCUGAGAAUUUGUAGUUAUUUCUUAAAUACAUGAAGAGUUAAAAAGGUUGUUAAUAAGAUACAGGGUUUUUUAUCAUCAAAAAAGAGAUUUUUUUAUCUGGAAAAGAACAUUUUUCCUGGCCUCAUGUUGACGCAGGUACUUGCGCUCCUAUUUCAUCACUAUUUCUUGUCAUACAUGUCGUAGGUAUUGGUCCCUGUUUCAUCACUAUUUAUUUCUUAUCAAACUUGUCUUCUAUUUUAUUUUUUGUCAUGCAUGCCUUCUUUUUACUUUUUUCAUGCAAGUCCUCUUUUUUUUCUUAUAUAUAUAGGAGAAUAGCACAACAUCUCAUCUUUAUCGGAUCUCCUCUGCAUUUUCUCUUUUAUUAUUUUAUAACGGACAUCCCAUCUUUAUUUGGUCCUUUUAUUUCUUGUCAUGCAUGUCCUUAUUUAUUGGUGUCUCUAACAAAUUUAUCUUCAAUUUGAUGUCCAAUCCUGAUUUUGAUGAGGUGUUCAUCCCCAAUCUGAAUCAGUACCGGUAUGAAAAAAAAGACAGAUAAUGCACUGCUGAUUAACAUUGGUGCCUAGAUAUUUUUUUUUUAAAUUUAACAGGUAAAAUAACAUCAUAUUUAUAUUCUACAUAUUUUUCUAAUCAAAUUUCAUAUAUAAUAUGUUAAAUUUGGAGUUACGGUUUAAAAGAUAUGAGUAUUUUAAAAAACGUUUGAUAUGUACUGCGGGUUUAAUGUUAGAAACAUCAAGGGGUUUUCUACAAAAUAGCAUGACGGACUAAGAAUACCUAUUUCUUUUAUUAGUAGGUAUAGAUAUAGAUAGAUAUGUAUAGAUAUAGAUUAUAGAACAUGGUAAUGCGAACACAGCUGCGCCAUUGGGGGAGUUUGUAUCAUUGUAUGGCCCUGGAAGAGAAAAGGCCCAUUAACAUUAACAGAUCGUUUCCCCGCGGCAAAAGCGAACCUUUUUUUUUUAGUGGCGGCAAAAGCGAACUGCCACCGAUGAAAGCAACAGUUGCUAGUACAGCUGGGAAGUACUCCUUCUGUACCAAAAUACUUACUCCAGCUACAAGUAUUUCGGUACAGUGAUAGUAUAUACGUGAUGAUCAUGCAUGCGCUGUGAGAGACGGAGAGGAGCCUUUAGUCCCGGUUCUGGAACUGGUACUAAAGGGUCGUUACUAAAGCCUCCAGGGUCGUUACCAAAGCAUCCCCUUUAGUCCUGGUUCUUACACGAACCGGGACUAAAGGCCGUCCACGUGGCCGCAGCCUGGAGCUCCACCUUUAGUCCCGGUUUUUUUGAAUUUUUUAUUUUCAAAUUUCUGAAUUAUUUUAACCUCUAAUCUCUAAUCACCACCCCUCAUCACUGCUCAAUUUAACCUCUAAUCACUAAUCACCCCUCAUCAUUCCAAAUCAUCUAACUUCCUAGACGGUAACAUUACCGUCCACGUCCGUCUUCUUCUCAAAGAUCCAUUUAUCUCGGAUUUCAUGGCUUCUAACCAUUUGUCGAAAUAUGGGCCCACCAUCGCUUCUCCAUAGCUCGUAGGUUCAGUAUUGUCCAACAACAUGAUAUCUCAGACAGGAUCACGUACCACUCUGAAGUAGCACGCAUCCUCGUCGUCCUACGAGGUUUGGUAGUGACUUGAUCCGAAGUUUCAUGAUCACUAUCAUAAGCUUCCACUUCAAUUGGUGUAGGUGCCACAGGAACAACGUCCUGUGCCCUGCUACACACUAGUUGAAGUUAUGGUUCAAUAACCUCAUCAAGUCUCCACCAUCCUCCCACUCAAUUCUUUCGAGAGAAACUUUUCCUCGAGAAAGGACCUGUUUCUAGAAGCAAUUACUUUUUGCUUCCAGAUCUGAAAUAGGAGGCAUACCCAACUGUUUUGGGUAUUCUAUGAAGACGCAUUUAUCCGCUUUGGGUUCGAGCUUAUCAGCCUGAAACUUUUUCACAUAAGCAUCGCAGCCCCAAACUUUUAAGAAACGACAACUUAGGUUUCUCUAAACGGUGUCAUCUCAACGGAAUUGCGUGGUGCCCCUUUUAAAGUGAAUGCGGUUGUCUCUAAUGCCUAACCCAUAAACGAUAGUGGUAAUUCGAUAAGAGACAUCAUGGUAUGCACCAUAUCCUAUAGGGUGUAGUUAUGAUGUUCGGACACACCAUCACACUAUGGUGUUCCAGGUGGUAUUAAUUGUGAAACACUUUCCACAAUGUCUUAAUUGUGUGCCAAACUCGUAACUCAGAUACUCAUCUCUAUGAUCAUAUCACAGACAUUUUAUCCUCUUGUCACUACGAUCUUCAACUUCACUCUGAAAUUACUUGAACCUUUCAAUAAUUCAGACUUGUGUUUUAUCAAGCAAAUACACUCAACAUCUACUCAAACCAUCUGUGAAGUAAGAACAUAACGAUAUCCACUGCAUGCCUCAGCACUCAUUGGACUGCAUACAUCAAAAUGUAUUACUUCCAAUAAGUUGGUCUCUUGUUUCAUCUUACUGAAAAUGAGGCCUUUCAGUCAUCUUGCCCAUGUGGUAUGAUUUGCAUGUCUCAGGUGAUUCAAAAUCAGGUGAGUCCAAACGAUCCAUCUACAUGGAGUUUCUUCAUGCAUAUAUACCAAUAGACAUGGUUCGCAUGUCUCAAUCUUUUCAAAAACGGCUGAGUCCAAAGAUCCAUCUACAUGGAGCUUCUUCAUGCGUUCUAUACCAAUAUGACUCAAAUGGCAGUGCCACAAGUAUGUGGAACUAUCAUUACUAUUUUAUAUCCUUUGGUACGAACAUGUGUAUCACUACGAUCGAGAUUUAUUUUAGGUGCAAGACCAUUGAAGGUAUUAUUCAAAUAAACAGAGCAACCAUUAUUCUCCUUAAAUGAAUAACCGUAUUGCGAUAAACAUAAUCUAAUCAUGCUCAACGCAAACACCAAAUCUCGAUGGUAGAGGGAGCAUGCGAUGCUUGAUCACAUCAACCUUGGAAACACUUCCAACACAUAUCGUCAUCUCACCUUUAGCUAGUCUCCGUUUAUUCCGCAGCUUUUAUUUCGAGUUACUAACACUUAGCAACCGAACCGGUAUCUAAUACCCUAGUGCUGCUAGGAGUACUAGUAAAGUACACAUUCAUAUAACGCAUAUCCAAUAUACUUCUGUCGACCUUGCCCGCCUUCUCAUCUACCAAGUAUCUAGGGUAGUACUGCUUCAGUGACCGUUCCCCUCAUUACAGAAGCACUUAGUCUCGGGUUUGGGUUCAACCUUGGGAUUCUUCACUAGAGCAGCAAACGAUUUGCUGUUUCAUGAAGUAUCCCUUUUGCCCUUGCCCUUCUAGAAACUAGUGGUUUUACUAACCAUCAAAAAUUGAUGCUCCUUCUUGAUUUCUACUUUCGCGGUGUCAAACAUCGCGAAUAGCUCAAGGAUCAUCAUAACUAUCCCUGAUAUGUUAUAGUUCAUCACGAAGCUCUACUAGCUUGGUGGCAGUGACUAUGGAGAACCAUCACUAUCUCAUCUGGGAGAUUAACUCCCACUCGAUUCAAGCGAUUGUGGUACUCAGACAAUCUGAGCACAUGCUCAACGAUUGAGCUUUUCUCCCUUAGUUUGCAGGCUUAAGAAACUUGUCAGAGGUCUCAUACCUCUUGACGUGGGCACUAGUCUGAAAUCCCAAUUUCAGUCUUCGGAACAUCUCAUAUGUUCUGCGACGUUUCAAAACCGUCUUUGGUGCCACAAUUCUAAACCGUUAGCAUUACGCACUGAACUAUCACGUAGUUAUCAAAACGUGUAUGUCAGAUGUUCCGCAACAUCUACAGACGACGCUGAGGUUCAGCACACCGAGCGGUGCAUUAAGGACAUAAGCCUUCUGUGCAGCAAUGAGGACAAUCCUCAGUUUACGGACCCAGUCCGCAUAAUUGCUACUACCAACUUUCAACUAAAUUUUUCUCUAGGAACAUAUCUUAACCAGUAGAACUAAAGCGCAAGCUAUGACAUAAUUUGCAAAGACCUUCUGACUAUGUUCAUGAUAAUUAAGUUCAUCUGAUUAAUGAACUCCCACUCAGAUAGACAUCCCUCUAGUCAUCUAAGUGAUACAUGAUCCGAGUCAAACUAGGCCGUGUCCGAUCAUCACGUGAGACGGACUAGUCAUCAUCGGUGAACAUCUCCAUGUUGAUCGUAUCUACUAUACGACUCAUGUUCGACCUUUCGAGCUCUUGUGUUCCGAGGCCAUGUCUGUACAUGCUAGGCUCGUCAAGUCAACCUAAAUGUUUUGCAUGUGUUCCGAGGCCAUGUCUGUACAUGCUAGGCUCGUCAACACCCGUUGUAUUCGAACGUUAGAAUCUAUCACACCCGAUCAUCACGUGGUGCUUCGAAACAACGAACCUUCGCAACGGUGCACAGUUAGGGGGAACACGUCUCUUGAAAUUUUUAGUGAGGGAUCAUCUUAUUUAUGCUACCGUCGUUCUAAGCAAAUAAGAUGUAAACGUGAUAAACAUCACAUGCAAUCAAAUAGUGACAUGAUAUGGCCAAUAUCAUUUUGCUCCUUUGAUCUCCAUCUUCGGGGCACCAUGAUCAUCUUUGUCACCGGCAUGACACCAUGAUCUCCAUCAUCAUGAUCUCCAUCAUUGUGUCUUCAUGAAGUUGUCACGCCAACGAUUACUUCUACUUCUAUGGCUAACGCGCUUAGCAAUAAAGUAAAGUAAUUUACAUGGCGUUAUUCAAUGACACGCAGGUCAUACAAAAAAUAAAGACAACUCCUAUGGCUCCUGCCGGUUGUCAUACUCAUCGACAUGCAAGUCGUGAUUCCUAUUACAAGAAUAUGAUCAAUCUCAUACAUCACAUAUAUCAUUCAUCACAUCUUCUGGCCAUAUCACAUCACAUAGCACAUGCUGCAAAAACAAGUUAGACGUCCUCUAAUUGUUGUUGCAAGUUUUUACGUGGCUUGUAUAGGUUUCUAGCAAGAACGUUUCUUACCUACGUAAAACCACAACGUGAUAUGCCAAUUUCUAUUUACCCUUCAUAAGGACCCUUUUCAUCGAAUCCGUUCCGACUAAAGUGGGAGAGACAGACACCCGGUAGCCACCUUAUGCAACCAGUGCAUGUCAGUCGGUGGAACUUGUCUCACGUAAGCGUACGUGUAAGGUCGGUCCGGGCCGCUUCAUCCCACAAUGCCGCCGAAACAAGAUAAGACUAGUAGCGGCAAGAAGAAUUGACAACAUCGACGCCCACAACUACUUUGUGUUCUACUCGUGCAUAGAAACUACGCAUAGACCUAGCUCAUGAUGCCACUGUAGGGGAACGUAGCAGAAAUUCAAAAUUUUCUACGCAUCACCAAGAUCAAUCUAUGGAGUAAUCUAGCAACGAGGGGGAGGAGAGUGCAUCUACAUACCCUUGUAGAUCGCGAUGCGGAAGCGUUGCAAGAACGCGGAUGAAGGAGUCGUACUCGUAGCGAUUCAGAUCGCGGUUGAUUCCGAUCUAAGCACCGAAGAACGGUGCCUCCGCGUUCAACACACGUGCAGCCCGGUGACGUCUCCCACGCCUUGAUCCAGUAAGGAGAGAGGGAGAGGUUGGGGAAGACUCCAUCCAGCAGCAGCACGACGGCGUGGUGGAGAUGGAGGAGCGUGGCAAUCCCGUAGGGCUUCGCCAAGCACCGCGGGAGAGGAGGAGGAGGGAGAGGGGUAGGGCUGCGCCGAAAGAGAGACGUUCUCAUGUGUCUUGGGCAGCCCAAACCUCAACUAUAUAUAGGGGGGAGGGGGCUGCGCCCCCUCUAGGGUUCCCACCCCAAGAGGAGGCGGCCAGCCCUAGAUCCCAUCAAGGGGGGCGGCCAAGGGGAGGAGAGGGGGGGCGCCCCACUAGAUGGGCCCUAAGGCCCAUCUGGACCUAGGGUUUGCCCCCUCCCACUCUCCCAUGCGCCUUGGGCCUUGGUGGGGGGCGCACCAGCCCACCUAGGGCUGGUCCCCUCCCACACUUGGCCCACGCAGCCUUCUGGGGCUGGUGGCCCCACUGGGUGGACCCCCGGGACCCUCCCGGUGGUCCCGGUACAUUAUCGAUAUCACCCGAAACUUUUCCGGUGACCAAAACAGGACUUCCCAUAUAUAAAUCUUUACCUCCGGACCAUUCCGGAACUCCUCGUGACGUCCGGGAUCUCAUCCGGGACUCCGAACAACAUUCUGUAACCACGUACAUACUUUCCCUAUAACCCUAGCGUCAUCGAACCUUAAGUGUGCAGACCCUACGGGUUCGGGAACCAUGCAGACAUGACCGAGACGUUCUGCGGUCAAUAACCAACAGCGGGAUCUGGAUACCCAUGUUGGCUCCCACAUGUUCCACGAUGAUCUCAUCGGAUGAACCACGAUGUCGGAGAUUCAAUCAAUCCCGUAUUCAAUUCCCUUUGUCUAUCGGUAUGCUACUUGCCCGAGAUUCGAUCGUCGGUAUCCCGAUACCUUGUUCAAUCUCGUUACCGGCAAGUCUCUUUACUCGUUCCGUAACUCACAUCAUCCCGUGAUCAACUCCUUGGUCACAUUGUGCACAUUAUGAUGAUGUCCUACCGAGUGGGCCCAGAGAUACCUCUCCAUUUACACGGAGUGACAAAUCCCAGUCUCGAUUCGUGCCAACCCAACAGACACUUUCGGAGAUACCUGUAGUGCACCUUUAUAGCCACCCAGUUACGUUGUGACGUUUGGUACACCCAAAGCAUUCCUACGGUAUCCGGGAGUUGCACAAUCUCAUGGUCUAAGGAAAUGAUACUUGACAUUAGAAAAGCUCUGAGCAAACGAACUACACGAUCUUGUGCUAGGCUUAGGAUUGGGUCUCGUCCAUCACAUCAUUCUCCUGAUGAUGUGAUCCCGUUAUCAACGACAUCCAAUGUCCAUGGUCAGGAAACCGUAACCAUCUAUUGAUCAACGAGCUAGUCAACUAGAGGCUUACUAGGGACAUGGUGUUGUCUAUGUAUCCACACAUGUAUCUGAGUUUCCUAUCAAUACAAUUCUAGCAUGGAUAAUAAACGAUUAUCAUGAACAAGGAAAUAUAAUAAUAACCUAUUUAUUAUUGCCUCUAGGGCAUAUUUCCAACAAGGCCCACGCGCGGCAGGGGGCCCGAAGCCAGGAGGGGGCCCGAGCGCAAGGGAGCAUUCUCCCCUAGGGGCACCGGGAGGCGCGUAUGACGAUGGCGAGUCGACCGGCGGCGGUACCUGGUGAAAAGGAAAAGGCCUCUCGUCAAAGUAAACGUGCCGAGAAGUGAAAACUCGGUGGGAAACCGGAUCAUAACAACGAUAGCCUUUGGUGUUUGGUGGGUAUCCGAGAAAGAUGCAUGCCACAGAGCAAGGUGCGAGUUUAUGAGGAGUAGUGGAGGCGAUGCUAGGAUAACAGAGACAACCAAAAAUACGAAGAUCAUCAUAUGAGGGUGGGCUACCGAAGAGGAGAUGAUGUGGGGCAAAGUUCCCACGAGCACGAGUUGGACGAAUGUUGAUGAGGAGAGAGGCGGUGGAGAGAGCGUUCGGCCAAAACCGGGGUGGGACAUUGGCGUGGAAAAGAAGAGUGCACACACAAUCAUUGAGGAUGCGAAGGAUCCGUUCGGCACGACCAUUUUGUUGCGAGGUAUACGGGCAGGUGAGACGAAAAAUCGUGCCGUGUGUGGCAAGGAGGGUGCGAACUUCGACGUUGUCGAACUCCUUCCCAUUGUCUGUCUGCAAGGCAUGAAUGGGACGCCCAAACUGUUGGGAAUCGUAGCAUAAUUUAAAAUUUUCCUACGCUCACCAAGAUGCAUCUAUGGAGUCUACUAGCAACGAGGGGAAAGGAGUGGAUCUACAUACCCUUGUAGAUCGCGAGCGGAAGCGUUCCAAUGAACGUGGAUGACGGAGUCGUACUCGCCGUGAUCCAAAUCACCGAUGACCGAGUGCCGAACGGACGGCACCUCCGCGUUCAACACACGUACGGUGCAGCGACGUCUCCUCCUUUCUUGAUCCAGCAAGGGGGGAGGAGAGGUUGAUGGAGAUCCAACAGCACGACGGCGUGGUGGUGGAUGUAGCGGCUCUCCGGCAAGGCUUCGCCGAGCUUCUGCGCGCGAGAGAGAGGUGUUGCAGGGGAGGAGGGAGGCGCCAAAGGCUGUUGUGUGCUGCCCUCCCUCCCCCCCCUUUAUAUAGGCCCCCAAGGGGGGGUGCGCAGCCCUUGGAGAUGGGAUCUCCAAGGGGGGGGCGGCGGCCAAGGGGGAAGGGGUUGCCUUGCCCCCCAAGGCAAGGGGAAACUCCCCCCCCCUAGGGUUCCCAACCCUAGGCGCAUGGGGGGGAGGCCCAAAGUGGCGCCCCAGCCCAUUAGGGGCUGGUUCCCCUCCACUUUCAGCCCACGGGGCCCUCCGGGACAGGUGGCCCCACCCGGUGGACCCCCGGGACCCUUCCGGUGGUCCCGGUACAAUACCGAUAACCCCCGAAACUUUCCCGGUGGCCAAAACUGGACUUCCUAUAUAUAAUUCUUCACCUCCGGACCAUUCCGGAACCUCUCGUGACGUCCGGGAUCUCAUCCGGGACUCCGAACAACUUUCGGGUUUCCGCAUACAUAUAUCUCUACAACCCUAGCGUCACCGGACCUUAAGUGUGUAGACCCUACGGGUUCGGGAGACAUGAAGACAUGACCGAGACGCCUCUCCGGUCAAUAACCAACAGCGGGAUCUGGAUACCCAUGUUGGCUCCCACAUGUUCCACGAUGAUAUCAUCGGGUGAACCACGGUGUCGAGGAUUCAAUCAAUCCGUAUGCAAUUCCCUUUGUCAAUCGGUAUGUUACUUGCCCGAGAUUCGAUCGUCGGUAUCCCAAUACCUUGUUCAAUCUCGUUACCGGCAAGUCUCUUUACUCGUACCGCAAUGCAUGAUCCCGUGACUAACGCCUUAGUCACAUUGAGCUCAUUAUGAUGAUGCAUUACCGAGUGGGCCCAGAGAUACCUCUCCGUUUACACGGAGUGACAAAUCCCAGUCUCGAUCCGUGCCAACCCAACAGACACUUUCGGAGAUACCCGUAAUGCACCUUUAUAGUCACCCAGUUACGUUGUGACGUUUGGCACACCCAAAGCACUCCUACGGUAUCCGGGAGUUGCACGAUCUCAUGGUCCAAGGAAAAGAUACUUGACAUUGGAAAAGCUCUAGCAAACGAAACUACACGAUCUUUUAUGCUAUGCUUAGGAUUGGGUCUUGUCCAUCACAUCAUUCUCCUAAUGAUGUGAUCCCGUUAUCAAUGACAUCCUAUGUCCAUAGUCAGGAAACCAUGACUAUCUGUUGAUCAACGAGCUAGUCAACUAGAGGCUUACUAGGGACAGGUUGUGGUCUAUGUAUUCACACAUGUAUUACGAUUUCCGGACAAUACAAUUAUAGCAUGAAUAAAAGACUAUUAUCAUGAACACAGAAAUAUAAUAAUAACCAUUUAUUAUUGCCUCUAGGGCAUAUUUCCAACAUUUCGGUCCUCCGUGUUCCGAGGCCAUGUCUGUACAUGCUAGGCUCGUCAAGUCAACCUAAGUGUAUUGCGUGUGUUCCGAGGCCAUGUCUGUACAUGCUAGGCUCGUCAACACCCGUUGUAUUCGAACGUUAGAAUCUAUCACACCCGAUCAUCACGUGGUGCUUCGAAACAACGAACCUUCGCAACGGUGCACAGUUAGGGUGAACACUUUCUUGAAAUUAUUAUAAGGGAUCAUCUUACUUACUACCGUCGUUCUAAGCAAAUAAGAUGCAAAAACAUGAUAAACAUCACAUGCAAUCAAAUAGUGACAUGAUAUGGCCAAUAUCAUCAUGCUCCUUUGAUCUCCAUCUUCGGGGCACCAUGAUCAUCUUCGUCACCGGCAUGACACCAUGAUCUCCAUCAUCAUGAUCUCCAUCAUUGUGUCUUCAUGAAGUCGUCACGCCAACGAUUACUUCUACUUACAUGGCUAACUCGUUUAGCAAUAAAGUAAAGUAAAUUACAUGGCGUUAUUCAAUGACACGCAGGUCAUGCAAAAUAAUAAAGACAACUCCUAUGGCUCCUGCCGGUUGUCAUACUCAUCGACAUGCAAGUCGUGAUUCCUAUUACAAGAAUAUGAUCAAUCUCAUACAUCACAUAUAUCAUUCAUCACAUCUUCUGGCCAUAUCACAUCACAUAGCACUUGCUGCAAAAACAAGUUAGACGUCCUCUAAUUGUUGUUGCAAGUUUUUACGUGGUUUGUAGGUUUCUAGCAAGAACGUUUUCUUGCCUACGUAUGACCACAACGUGAUUUGCCAAUUUCUAUUUACCCUUCAUAAGGACCCUUUUCAUCGAAUCCGUUCCGACUAAAGUAGGAGAGACAGACACCCGCUAGCCACCUUAUGCAACUAGUGCAUGUCAGUCGGUGGAACCUGUCUCACGUAAGCGUACGUGUAAGGUCGGUCCGGGCCGCUUCAUCCUACAAUGCCGCCGAAACAAGAAACGACUAGUAGCGGCAAGAAGAAUUGGCAACAUCAACGCCCACAACUUCUUUGUGUUCUACUCGUGCAUAGUAACUACGCAUAGGCCUGGCUCAUGAUGCCACUGUUGGGAAUCGUAGCAUAAUUUUAAAAUUUUCCUACGCUCACCAAGAUGCAUCUAUGGAGUCUACUAGCAACGAGGGGAAAGGAGUGGAUCUACAUACCCUUGUAGAUCGCGAGCGGAAGCGUUCCAAUGAACGUGGAUGACGGAGUCGUACUCGCCGUGAUCCAAAUCACCGAUGACCGAGUGCCGAACGGACGGCACCUCCGCGUUCAACACACGUACGGUGCAGCGACGUCUCCUCCUUUCUUGAUCCAGCAAGGGGGGAGGAGAGGUUGAUGGAGAUCCAACAGCACGACGGCGUGGUGGUGGAUGUAGCGGCUCUCCGGCAAGGCUUCGCCGAGCUUCUGCGCGCGAGAGAGAGGUGUUGCAGGGGAGGAGGGAGGCGCCAAAGGCUGUAGUGUGCUGCCCUCCCUCCCCCCCUUUAUAUAGGCCCCCAAGGGGGGGUGCGCAGCCCUUGGAGAUGGGAUCUCCAAGGGGGGGGGCGGCGGCCAAGGGGGAAGGGGUUGCCUUGCCCCCCAAGGCAAGGGGAAACUCCCCCCCUAGGGUUCCCAACCCUAGGCGCAUGGGGGGGAGGCCCAAAGUGGCGCCCCAGCCCAUUAGGGGCUGGUUCCCCUCCACUUUCAGCCCACGGGGCCCUCCGGGACAGGUGGCCCCACCCGGUGGACCCCCGGGACCCUUCCGGUGGUCCCGGUACAAUACCGAUAACCCCCGAAACUUUCCCGGUGGCCAAAACUGGACUUCCUAUAUAUAAUUCUUCACCUCCGGACCAUUCUGGAACCUCUCGUGAUGUCCGGGAUCUCAUCCGGGACUCCGAACAACUUUCGGGUUUCCGCAUACAUAUAUCUCUACAACCCUAGCGUCACCGGACCUUAAGUGUGUAGACCCUACGGGUUCGGGAGACAUGCAGACAUGACCGAGACGCCUCUCCGGUCAAUAACCAACAGCGGGAUCUGGAUACCCAUGUUGGCUCCCACAUGUUCCACGAUGAUAUCAUCGGGUGAACCACGGUGUCGAGGAUUCAAUCAAUCCGUAUGCAAUUCCCUUUGUCAAUCGGUAUGUUACUUGCCCGAGAUUCGAUCGUCGGUAUCCCAAUACCUAGUUCAAUCUCGUUACCGGCAAGUCUCUUUACUCGUACCGCAAUGCAUGAUCCCGUGACUAACGCCUUAGUCACAUUGAGCUCAUUAUGAUGAUGCAUUACCGAGUGGACCCAGAGAUACCUCUCCGUUUACACGGAGUGACAAAUCCCAGUCUCGAUCCGUGCCAACCCAACAGACACUUUCGGAGAUACCCGUAAUGCACCUUUAUAGUCACCCAGUUACGUUGUGACGUUUGGCACACCCAAAGCACUCCUACGGUAUCCGGGAGUUGCACGAUCUCAUGGUCUAAGGAAAAGAUACUUGACAUUGGAAAAGCUCUAGCAAACGAAACUACACGAUCUUUUAUGCUAUGCUUAAGUUGGGUCUUGUCCAUCACAUCAUUCUCCUAAUGAUGUGAUCCCGUUAUCAAUGACAUCCUAUGUCCAUAGUCAGGAAACCAUGACUAUCUGUUGAUCAACGAGCUAGUCAACUAGAGGCUUACUAGGGACAGGUUGUGGUCUAUGUAUUCACACAUGUAUUACGAUUUCCGGACAAUACAAUUAUAGCAUGAAUAAAAGACUAUUAUCAUGAACACAGAAAUAUAAUAAUAACCAUUUAUUAUUGCCUCUAGGGCAUAUUUCCAACAGAUCGUAUCUUCUAUACGACUCAUGCUCGACCUUUCGGUCCUCCGUGUUCCGAGGCCAUGUCUGUACAUUCUAGGCUCGUCAAGUCAACCUAAGUGUAUUGCGUGUGUUCCGAGGCCAUGUCUGUACAUGCUAGGCUCGUCAACACCCGUUGUAUUCGAACGUUAGAAUCUAUCACACCCGAUCAUCACGUGGUGCUUCGAAACAACGAACCUUCGCAACGGUGCACAGUUAGGGUGAACACUUUCUUGAAAUUAUUAUAAGGGAUCAUCUUACUUACUACCGUCGUUCUAAGCAAAUAAGAUGCAAAAACAUGAUAAACAUCACAUGCAAUCAAAUAGUGACAUGAUAUGGCCAAUAUCAUCAUGCUCCUUUGAUCUCCAUCUUCGGGGCACCAUGAUCAUCUUCGUCACCGGCAUGACACCAUGAUCUCCAUCAUCAUGAUCUCCAUCAUUGUGUCUUCAUGAAGUCGUCACGCCAACGAUUACUUCUACUUCUAUGGCUAACGCGUUUAGCAACAAAGUAAAGUAAUUUACAUGGCGUUAUUAAUGACACGCAGGUCAUACAAAAUAAUAAAGACAACUCCUAUGGCUCCUGCCGGUUGUCAUACUCAUCGACAUGCAAGUCGUGAUUCCUAUUACAAGAAUAUGAUCAAUCUCAUACAUCACAUAUAUCAUUCAUCACAUCUUCUGGCCAUAUCACAUCACAUAGCACAUGCUGCAAAAACAAGUUAGACGUCCUCUAAUUGUUGUUGCAAGUUUUUACGUGGUUUGUAGGUUUCUAGCAAGAACGUUUCUUACCUACGUAUGACCACAAUGUGAUUUGCCAAUUUCUAUUUACCCUUCAUAAGGACCCUUUUCAUCGAAUCCGUUCCGACUAAAGUAGGAGAGACAGACACCCGCUAGCCACCUUAUGCAACUAGUGCAUGUCAGUCGGUGGAACCUGUCUCACGUAAGCGUACGUGUAAGGUCGGUCCGGGCCGCUUCAUCCUACAAUGCCGCCGAAACAAGAAACGACUAGUAGCGGCAAGAAGAAUUGGCAACAUCAACGCCCACAACUUCUUUGUGUUCUACUCGUGCAUAGUAACUACGCAUAAACCUGGCUCUGAUACCACUGUUGGGAAUCGUAGCAUAAUUUAAAAUUUUCCUACGCUCACCAAGAUGCAUCUAUGGAGUCUACUAGCAACGAGGGGAAAGGAGUGGAUCUACAUACCCUUGUAGAUCGCGAGCGGAAGCGUUCCAAUGAACGUGGAUGGCAGAGUCGUACUCGCCGUGAUCCAAAUCACCGAUGACCGAGUGCCGAACGGACGGCACCUCCGCGUUCAACACACGUACGGUGCAGCGACGUCUCCUCCUUUCUUGAUCCAGCAAGGGGGGAGGAGAGGUUGAUGGAGAUCCAACAGCACGACGGCGUGGUGGUGGAUGUAGCGGCUCUCCGGCAAGGCUUCGCCGAGCUUCUGCGCGCGAGAGAGAGGUGUUGCAGGGGAGGAGGGAGGCGCCAAGGCUGUCGUCUACUGCCCUCCCUCCCCCCCUUUAUAUAGGCCCCCAAGGGGGGGUGCGCAGCCCUUGGAGAUGGGAUCUCCAAGGGGGGGCGGCGGCCAAGGGGGAAGGGGUUGCCUUGCCCCCCAAGGCAAGGGGAAACUCCCCCCUAGGGUUCCCAACCCUAGGCGCAUGGGGGGGAGGCCCAAAGUGGCGCCCCAGCCCAUUAGGGGCUGGUUCCCCUCCACUUUCAGCCCACGGGGCCCUCCGGGACAGGUGGCCCCACCCGGUGGACCCCCGGGACCCUUCCGGUGGUCCCGGUACAAUACCGAUAACCCCCGAAACUUUCCCGGUGGCCAAAACUGGACUUCCUAUAUAUAAUUCUUCACCUCCGGACCAUUCCGGAACCUCUCGUGACGUCCGGGAUCUCAUCCGGGACUCCGAACAACUUUCGGGUUUCCGCAUACAUAUAUCUCUACAACCCUAGCGUCACCAGACCUUAAGUGUGUAGACCCUACGGGUUCGGGAGACAUGCAGACAUGACCGAGACGCCUCUCCGGUCAAUAACCAACAGCGGGAUCUGGAUACCCAUGUUGGCUCCCACAUGUUCCACGAUGAUAUCAUCGGGUGAACCACGGUGUCGAGGAUUCAAUCAAUCCGUAUGCAAUUCCCUUUGUCAAUCGGUAUGUUACUUGCCCGAGAUUCGAUCGUCGGUAUCCCAAUACCUUGUUCAAUCUCGUUACCGGCAAGUCUCUUUACUCGUACCGCAAUGCAUGAUCCCGUGACUAACGCCUUAGUCACAUUGAGCUCAUUAUGAUGAUGCAUUACCGAGUGGGCCCAGAGAUACCUCUCCGUUUACACGGAGUGACAAAUCCCAGUCUCGAUCCGUGCCAACCCAACAGACACUUUCGGAGAUACCCGUAAUGCACCUUUAUAGUCACCCAGUUACGUUGUGAAGUUUGGCACACCCAAAGCACUCCUACGGUAUCCGGGAGUUGCACGAUCUCAUGGUCUAAGGAAAAGAUACUUGACAUUGGAAAUGCUCUAGCAAACGAAACUACACGAUCUUUUAUGCUAUGCUUAAGUUGGGUCUUGUCCAUCACAUCAUUCUCCUAAUGAUGUGAUCCCGUUAUCAAUGACAUCCUAUGUCCAUAGUCAGGAAACCAUGACUAUCUGUUGAUCAACGAGCUAGUCAACUAGAGGCUUACUAGGGACAGGUUGUGGUCUAUGUAUUCACACAUGUAUUACGAUUUCCGGACAAUACAAUUAUAGCAUGAACAAUAGACUAUUAUCAUGAACACAGAAAUAUAAUAAUAACCAUUUAUUAUUGCCUCUAGGGCAUAUUUCCAACAGUCUCCCACUUGCACUAGAGUCAAUAAUCUAGUUACAUUGUGAUGAAUCGAACACCCAUUGCGUCCUGGUGUUGAUCAUGUUUUGCCCUAGGGAGAGGUUUAGUCAACGGAUCUGCUACAUUCAGGUCCGUGUGUACUUUACAAAUAUCUAUGUCUCCAUUUUGAACACUUUCACGAAUGGAGUUGAAGCGACGCUUGAUAUGCCUGGUCUUCCUGUGAAACCUGGGCUCCUUCGCAAGGGCAAUAGCUCCAGUGUUGUCACAGAAGAGAGUCAUUGGGCCCGACGCAUUGGGAAUCACCCCUAGGUCGGUAAUGAACUCCUUCAUCCAGACUGCUUCCUGUGCUGCCUCUGAGGCUGCCAUGUACUCCGCUUCACAUGUAGAUCCCGCCACGACGCUUUGCUUGCAACUGCACCAGCUUACUGCUCCUCUAUUCAAAAUAUACACGUAUCCGGUUUGUGACUUCGAGUCAUCCAGAUCUGUGUCGAAGCUAGCGUCGACGUAACCCUUUACGACGAGCUCUUCGUCACCUCCAUAAACGAGAAACAUAUCCUUAGUCCUCUUCAGGUACUUCAGGAUAUUCUUGACCGCUGUCCAGUGUUCCAUGCCGGGAUUACUUUGGUACCUUCCUACCAAACUUACGGCAAGGUUUACAUCAGGUCUGGUACACAGCAUGGCAUACAUAAUAGACCCUAUGGCCAAGGCAUAGGGGAUGACACUCAUCUUUUCUCUAUCUUCUGCCGUGGUCGGGCAUUGAGCCGUGCUCAAUUGCACACCUUGCAAUACAGGCAAGAACCCCUUCUUGGACUGAUCCAUAUUGAACUUCUUCAAUAUCUUGUCAAGGUACGUACUCUGUGAAAGACCAAUGAGGCGUCUUGAUCUAUCUCUAUAGAUCUUGAUGCCUAAUAUAUAAGCAGCUUCUCCAAGGUCCUUCAUUGAAAAACACUUAUUCAAAUAGGCCUUUAUACUUUCCAAGAAUUCUAUAUCAUUUCCCAUCAAUAGUAUGUCAUCCACAUAUAAUAAGAGAAAUGCUACAGAGCUCCCACUCACUUUCUUGUAAACACAGGCUUCUCCAUAAGUCUGUGUAAACCCAAACGCUUUGAUCAUCUCAUCAAAGCGAAUGUUCCAACUCCGAGAUGCUUGCACACUUUGUUAGCAUUCUUAGGAUCGACAAAACCUUCCGGCUGCAUCAUAUACAAUUCUUCCUUAAGGAAGCCGUUAAGGAAUGCCGUUUUGACGUCCAUCUGCCAUAUCUCAUAAUCAUAGUAUGCGGCAAUUGCUAACAUGAUUCGGACGGACUUCAGCUUCGCUACGGGUGAGAAAGUCUCAUCGUAGUCAACCCCUUGAACUUGUCGAUAACCCUUAGCGACAAGUCGAGCCUUAUAGAUGGUCACAUUACCAUCCGCGUCUGUCUUCUUCUUAAAGAUCCAUUUAUUUUCUAUGGCUCGCCGAUCAUCGGGCAAGUCAGUCAAAGUCCAUACUUCGUUUUCAUACAUGGAUCCUAUCUCGGAUUUCAUGGCUUCUAGCCAUUUGUCGGAAUCCGGGCCCGCCAUCGCUUCUUCAUAGUUCGAAGGUUCACCAUUGUCUAACAACAUGAUUUCCAGGACAGGGUUGCCGUACCACUCUGGUGCGGAACGUGUCCUUGUGGACCUACGAAGUUCAGUAACUUGAUCUGAAGCUUCAUGAUCAUCAUCAUUAACUUCCUCCCCAGUCGGUGUAGGCACCACAGGAACAUUUUCCCGCGCUGCGCUACUUUCCGGUUCGGAAGGGGUGACUAUCACCUCAUCAAGUUCCACUUUCCUCCCACUCAAUUCUUUCGAGAGAAACUCCUUCUCUAGAAAGGACCCGUUCUUGGCAACGAAGAUCUUGCCUUCGGAUCUGAGGUAGAAGGUAUACCCAAUAGUUUCCUUAGGGUAUCCUAUGAAGACGCAUUUUUCCGAUUUGGGUUCGAGCUUUUCAGGUUGAAGUUUCUUGACAUAAGCAUCGCAUCCCCAAACUUUUAGAAACGACAGCUUAGGUUUCUUCCCAAACCAUAAUUCAUACGGUGUCGUCUCAACGGAUUUAGACGGUGCCCUAUUUAAAGUGAAUGCGGCAGUCUCUAAAGCAUAACCCCAAAAUGAGAGCGGUAAGUCGGUAAGAGACAUCAUAGAUCGCACCAUAUCCAACAGAGUGCGAUUACGACGUUCGGACACACCAUUUCUCUGAGGUGUUCCAGGCGGCGUGAGUUGUGAAACUAUUCCACAUUUCCUUAAGUGUGUACCAAAUUCGUGACUUAAAUAUUCUCCACCACGAUCUGAUCGUAAGAAUUUUAUUUUCCUGUCACGUUGAUUCUCGACUUCACUCUGAAAUUCCUUGAACUUUUCAAAGGUUUCAGACUUGUGUUUCAUUAGGUAGACAUACCCAUAUCUACUUAAAUCAUCAGUGAGAGUGAGAACAUAACGAUAUCCUCCGCGAGCCUCAACGCUCAUUGGACCGCACACAUCGGUAUGUAUGAUUUCCAAUAAGUUGGUCGCUCGCUCCAUUGUUCCGGAGAACGGAGUCUUGGUCAUCUUACCCAUGAGGCAUGGUUCGCACGUGUCAAAUGAUUCGUAAUCAAGAGACUCCAAAAGUCCAUCUGCAUGGAGCUUCUUCAUGCGCUUGACACCAAUGUGACCAAGGCGGCAGUGCCACAAGUAUGUGGGACUAUCGUUAUCAACUUUACAUCUUUUGGUAUUCACACUAUGAACAUGUGUAGGAUCACGUUCGAGAUUCAUCAAGAAUAAACCAUUGACCAGCGGGGCAUGACCAUAAAACAUAUCUCUCAAAUAAAUAGAACAACCAUUAUUCUCAGAUUUAAAUGAGUAGCCAUCUCGAAUUAAACGAGAUCCAGAUACAAUGUUCAUGCUCAAAGCUGGCACUAAAUAACAAUUAUUGAGGUUUAUAACUAAUCCCGUGGGUAGAUGCAGAGGUAGCGUGCCGACGGCGAUCACAUCGACCUUGGAACCAUUCCCGACGCGCAUCGUCACCUCGUCUUUUGCCAGUCUCCGUUUAUUCCGUAGUUCCUGAUUUGAGUUACAAAUAUGAGCAACCGCACCGGUAUCAAAUACCCAGGAGCUACUGCGAGUACUGGUAAGGUACACAUCAAUUACUUGUAUAUCACAUAUACCUUGGGUGUUGCCGGCCUUCUUCUUGUCCGCUAAAUAUUUGGGGCAGUUCCGCUUCCAGUGACCACUUCCCUUGCAAUAAAAGCACUCAGUCUCGGGCUUGGGUCCAUUCUUUGACUUCUUCCCGGUAACUGGUUUACCGGGCGCGGCAACUCCCUUGCCGUCCUUCUUGAAGUUCUUCUUACCCUUGCCCUUCUUGAACUUAGUGGUUUUAUUCACCAUCAACACUUGAUGUUCCUUUUUGAUCUCCCCUUCCGCUGAUUUUAGCAUUGAAUAUACCUCGGGAAUGGUCUUUUCCAUCCCCUGCAUAUUGUAGUUCAUCACAAAGCUCUUGUAGCUUGGUGGAAGCGACUGGAGGAUUCUGUCAAUGACCGCGUCAUCCGGGAGAUUAACUCCCAGCUGAGACAAGCGGUUGUGUAACCCAGACAUUCUGAGUAUGUGCUCACUAACAGAACUGUUCUCCUCCAUUUUACAGCUGAAGAACUUGUCGGAGACAUCAUAUCUCUCGACCCGGGCAUGAGCUUGAAAAACCAGUUUCAGCUCCUCGAACAUCUCGUAUGCUCCAUGUUUCUCAAAACGCUUUUGGAGACCCGGUUCUAAGCUGUAAAGCAUGCCGCACUGAACGAGGGAGUAAUCAUCAGCACGCUGCUGCCAAGCGUUCAUAACGUCUUGGUUCUCAGGGAUUGGUGCUUCACCUAGCGGUGCUUCUAAGACAUAAUCUUUCUUGGCAACUAUGAGGAUGAGCCUCAGGUUCCGGACCCAGUCCGUAUAGUUGCUGCCAUCAUCUUUCAGCUUGGUUUUCUCUAGGAACGCGUUGAAAUUGAGGACAACGUGGGCCAUUUGAUCUACAAUACAUAGUGUAAAGAUUUUUUAGACUAAGUUCAUGAUAAUUAAGUUCAUAUAAUCAAAUGAUCUAAUGAACUCCCACUCAGAUAGACAUCCCUCUAGUUAUCUAAGUGAAACAUGAUCCGAACUCAACUAGGCCGUGUCCGAUCAUCACGUGAGACGGACUAGUCAAGAUCGGUGAACAUCUCCAUGUUGAUCGUAUCUUCUAUACGACUCAUGCUCGACCUUUCGGUCCUCCGUGUUCCGAGGCCAUGUCUGUACAUGCUAGGCUCGUCAAGUCAACCUAAGUGUAUUGCGUGUGUUCCGAGGCCAUGUCUGUACAUGCUAGGCUCGUCAACACCCGUUGUAUGCGAACGUAAGAAUCUAUCACACCCGAUCGUCACGUGGUGCUUCGAAACGACGAACCUUCGCAACGGUGCACAGUUAGGGUGAACACUUUCUUGAAAUUAUUAUAAGGGAUCAUCCUACUUGCUACCGUCGUACUAAGCAAAUAAGAUGCAAAAACAUGAUAAACAUCACAUGCAAUCAAACAGUGACAUGAUAUGGCCAAUAUCAUCAUGCUCCUUUGAUCUCCAUCUUCGGGGCACCAUGAUCAUCUUCGUCACCGGCAUGACACCAUGAUCUCCAUCAUCAUGAUCUCCAUCAUUGUGUCUUCAUGAAGUUGUCACGCCAACGAUUACUUCUACUUCUAUGGCUAACCGUUUAGCAACAAAGUAAAGUAAAUUACAUGGCGUUAUUCAAUGACACGCAGGUCAUGCAAAAUAAUAAAGACAACUCCUAUGGCUCCUGCCGGUUGUCAUACUCAUCGACAUGCAAGUCGUGAUUCCUAUUACAAGAAUAUGAUCAAUCUCAUACAUCACAUAGAUCAUUCAUCACAUCUUCUGGCCAUAUCAUAUCACAUAUAUCACUUGCUGCAAAAACAAGUUAGACGUCCUCUAAUUGUUGUUGCAAGUUUUUACGUGGUUUGUAGGUUUCUUAGCAAGAACGAUUUCUUACCUACGUAUGACCACAACGUGAUUUGCCAAUUUCUAUUUACCCUUCAUAAGGACCCUUUUCAUCGAAUCCGUUCCGACUAAAGUAGGAGAGACAGACACCCGCUAGCCACCUUAUGCAACUAGUGCAUGUCAGUCGGUGGAACCUGUCUCACGUAAGCGUACGUGUAAGGUCGGUCCGGGCCGCUUCAUCCUACAAUGCCGCCGAAACAAGAAACGACUAGUAGCGGCAAGAAGAAUUGGCAACAUCAACGCCCACAACUUCUUUGUGUUCUACUCGUGCAUAGUAACUACGCAUAGGCCUGGCUCAUGAUGCCACUGUUGGGAAUCGUAGCAUAAUUUAAAAUUUUCCUACGCUCACCAAGAUGCAUCUAUGGAGUCUACUAGCAACGAGGGGAAAGGAGUGGAUCUCCAUACCCUUGUAGAUCGCGAGCGGAAGCGUUCCAAUGAACGUGGAUGACGGAGUCGUACUCGCCGUGAUCCAAAUCACCGAUGACCGAGUGCCGAACGGACGGCACCUCCGCGUUCAACACACGUACGGUGCAGCGACGUCUCCUCCUUUCUUGAUCCAGCAAGGGGGGAGGAGAGGUUGAUGGAGAUCCAACAGCACGACGGCGUGGUGGUGGAUGUAGCGGCUCUCCGGCAAGGCUUCGCCGAGCUUCUGCGCGCGAGAGAGAGGUGUUGCAGGGGAGGAGGGAGGCGCCAAAGGCUGUUGUGUGCUGCCCUCCCUCCCCCCCCUUUAUAUAGGCCCCCAAGGGGGGGUGCGCAGGAUCUCCAAGGGGGGGGGGGGCGGCGGCCAAGGGGGAAGGGGUUGCCUUGCCCCCCAAGGCAAGGGGAAACUCCCCCCCUAGGGUUCCCAACCCUAGGCGCAUGGGGGGGAGGCCCAAAGUGGCGCCCCAGCCCAUUAGGGGCUGGUUCCCCUCCACUUUCAGCCCACGGGGCCCUCCGGGACAGGUGGCCCCACCCGGUGGACCCCCGGGACCCUUCCGGUGGUCCCGGUACAAUACCGAUAACCCCCGAAACUUUCCCGGUGGCCAAAACUGGACUUCCUAUAUAUAAUUCUUCACCUCCGGACCAUUCCGGAACCUCUCGUGACGUCCGGGACCUCAUCCGGGACUCCGAACAACUUUCGGGUUUCCGCAUACAUAUAUCUCUACAACCCUAGCGUCACCGGACCUUAAGUGUGUAGACCCUACGGGUUCGGGAGACAUGCAGACAUGACCGAGACGCCUCUCCGGUCAAUAACCAACAGCGGGAUCUGGAUACCCAUGUUGGCUCCCACAUGUUCCACGAUGAUAUCAUCGGGUGAACCACGGUGUCGAGGAUUCAAUCAAUCCGUAUGCAAUUCCCUUUGUCAAUCGGUAUGUUACUUGCCCGAGAUUCGAUCGUCGGUAUCCCAAUACCUAGUUCAAUCUCGUUACCGGCAAGUCUCUUUACUCGUACCGCAAUGCAUGAUCCCGUGACUAACGCCUUAGUCACAUUGAGCUCAUUAUGAUGAUGCAUUACCGAGUGGGCCCAGAGAUACCUCUCCGUUUACACGGAGUGACAAAUCCCAGUCUCGAUCCGUGCCAACCCAACAGACACUUUCGGAGAUACCCGUAAUGCACCUUUAUAGUCACUCAGUUACGUUGUGACGUUUGGCACACCCAAAGCACUCCUACGGUAUCCGGGAGUUGCACGAUCUCAUGGUCUAAGGAAAAGAUACUUGACAUUGGAAAAGCUCUAGCAAACGAAACUACACGAUCUUUUAUGCUAUGCUUAAGUUGGGUCUUGUCCAUCACAUCAUUCUCCUAAUGAUGUGAUCCCGUUAUCAAUGACAUCCUAUGUCCAUAGUCAGGAAACCAUGACUAUCUGUUGAUCAACGAGCUAGUCAACUAGAGGCUUACUAGGGACAGGUUGUGGUCUAUGUAUUCACACAUGUAUUACGAUUUCCGGACAAUACAAUUAUAGCAUGAACAAUAGACUAUUAUCAUGAACACAGAAAUAUAAUAAUAACCAUUUAUUAUUGCCUCUAGGGCAUAUUUCCAACACAAACUACGUAGCGACAUAGGAGUAAAAGGUAGUAAGAACGGAGAGUGCAUCGGAUUUUCUCCGCAACGGGAAGGUCCACACAUAGUGCGAAAAAUCAUCAAGUAUGCCAAGAUAGUAUAAAAAAACCCGUAUCACUGGCAACAGGAGAUGUCCACAAAUCACUAUGGAUCAACUCAAAUGGAUACGACGCCACCGAUGAGGACGCACUAAACGGAAGAUGGACAUGCUUGCCGAGAUGACAAGCAUGACAAGUAUGAUCAUCAGUUUUAUUACACGUGAAUGAAAAAGUCCUAAGAAUAUGACGAAGGGUGGCCAGGUUUGGAUGUCCAAGCCGAGCAUGCCAAAGGUCCACCGUGGCGGAGAGAGCAACCGGUGCGGAUGUGGAAGUGGCGGUGGAGUUCACUGGGUAGAGGCCGUCCGGGCUGUCACAUCGGUGGAGCACCAUCCGGGUACGAGCGUCCUUGACAGAAAAACCCACUUCGUCAAAUUCAACAGUUAUAGGAUUUUCACGUGUAAGAGAACGAACCGAAACAAGAUUAGUGACUAACUCAGGUGAAACUAAGACAUUAGACAUGUGAAUAGGCGUAGAGUUAGAUGGAAAGGAACCAUGACCGACAUGAGUAAUGGGAAGGGAAGACCCGUCCCCAACAGUGAUACGACAUGCGGUACAUACUGGAAAUACGGAGUUGAGGUUACCAGGGUUGGAAGUCAUGUGGGUGGUAGCCCCGGAAUCCAUAUACCAGUCGCUGCCUCCGGUGUACGUGUUGGGUGUAGGGGCGGAGUGAAGCGCCGCAAGGAGAGCCGGAUCCCAAGGGGCCGGCGGGAGUGCGGCGGUCGCGGCCGGAGGGGCGGCGGGGUAGCCACCAGGAGUGGCGUAGCUAGGCAUGGCCGCGGCGUAGCCACCCGGGGCGGUUUACGGAGGGGCCGCGAAAAACGCCUGAUGCACGCCGGGGCGGGGGCCGAGGAUCCCGGCCGGGACGGGGGCCCGCGGCACGGGCAUCGUGUACGCAUGGACCACCCCCGUCCAAGGGUUGGUCGCGGCGGCCCAGGGGGCCGGGGGCAGCUACUGCUGNNNNNNNNNNNNNNNNNNNNNNNNNNNNNNNNNNNNNNNNNNNNNNNNNNNNNNNNNNNNNNNNNNNNNNNNNNNNNNNNNNNNNNNNNNNNNNNNNNNNNNNNNNNNNNNNNNNNNNNNNNNNNNNNNNNNNNNNNNNNNNNNNNNNNNNNNNNNNNNNNNNNNNNNNNNNNNNNNNNNNNNNNNNNNNNNNNNNNNNNNNNNNNNNNNNNNNNNNNNNNNNNNNNNNNNNNNNNNNNNNNNNNNNNNNNNNNNNNNNNNNNNNNNNNNNNNNNNNNNNNNNNNNNNNNNNNNNNNNNNNNNNNNNNNNNNNNNNNNNNNNNNNNNNNNNNNNNNNNNNNNNNNNNNNNNNNNNNNNNNNNNNNNNNNNNNNNNNNNNNNNNNNNNNNNNNNNNNNNNNNNNNNNNNNNNNNNNNNNNNNNNNNNNNNNNNNNNNNUCGGCUGAUGUUGCUUCUUGCCGUGGCGCCCCCCGCGGCGGCGGUCAGGGGCAGGGGGCGGCGGCUGGUAGACGGGCGCCGGUGGCGCCUGAAAGUACGACGCCGGCGGCGGUGACGGCCGCGGCGGCUGCGGCGCCGUGUGAGGGGCGGCACGGGAGGUGCCCGCCGCGAGAGCCGUGUGCGUUGCCCAGGACUUCACCAUCUUCAUCCUCCUCUCCUCCAACCGAAGGUAGGCCACAACCCGAGGAAAGGUUGGGUCUGGGAGGAACGUGAGGUUGGAGGCCGCGUUGUCGAACUCCUCGUUCAGACCGGCGGUGAGCGUGCUGAGGAGGAGGUCGCCGGAUAACCGCUCCCGGCCGAGGUCGCGAAGUUCGUCAGCAAGUUUCUUAAGGCGCAUGCAAUAAUCGUCGAUGGACGAGUCAAGCUGAUGGCAGCCAAAAAAUUCCUGCUGAAGAAACACGCGGCGUUGGAGGGCGUUGUCGAGGAAGAGCCCGUUCAGCUUUGCCCACACCAUCUGCGCGUCAUCGGCGUCGCAAACGAUGGUGUGGAAGAUGUCCUUGGAGAUGGUUUCGUACAGCCAGCGAGUGAUGGUGGCGUCGAUGGUCAGCCAGUCGUCGUCCGCGUACAUGAGGACGGAGUCGACGGAGCCAUCGACGUGAUCGAUGAGGUGGUACUCGGGGAAGACGAGGGAGAAGUAGGUUUUCCAGGCAUAGUAGGUGGAGGAGGCGUAGUCAAGAAUGACGGGCACGCGGGCGAAGAUAUCGAGAUCGCGGAUGACCUCCACCGGGGGAGGGGCCGGACCGUCGAAGGGAUUGGAGGGGAGGGAGGCGGCGGAGUGGGGAGACGCCAUGGGUGCAGCGGCAACCGAGGGGAGGAGGUGCGGCACGACUGGCGGGGAGAUGCAAUCGGGUGGGAGCGGGUGGCGGCUCGGGAGGAGAGAGGGAUGGGGAGGGGUGAUGCGUGCGCGGCGGCGGGGUGAGGGUGCGGCGGCGGCGCAAGAGAUGGCGGCGGCGGCGGCUAGGAGCUGCGGCGGCUGCGGCUAGGAGCGGAAGCUAUGGUUGGAUCGGAAGGAAAACUGAUACCAUAUUGGAGGCAAUGCAAUUCUCAACGUAUUGAUCGGGUGCAGGGUGCACAUAUAUAUGGGUACAAGGGCAGCCCUCAGCCUCAUCUAUACAAGGAAACUAGAGGCAGGGCCGGUAGAAGAAUAUCCUAACAGAUACAUGCACAAAUAUGUUCAACACAAUGGUACGUGCGUUUGAUCGAGCUGUACGCGGCGAUACAUGUACCCGUAAAUGUGUCGGGGGCGGGGCUGGGUCGGUCGAUACUGUCUGUACCUUCCGCGACCCAUGCAAAUACAUCCACGCGACGCUGCCGGCCUAGCUAGCCAGGGAGCGCAAAGGUCGAUCGACGUGUAGUUGACGGUACUGGCUUAUUUUUAUGAUCACGUUCCUGCAUCAGCAUACACACGCAGCAGCGCUCCUACUUGACACCGACUGUAAAAGCUGUAUGACCCCAUACCCUCCCUGUUCAUCCCAACAAAGCAUGCGCUAGAAUAGUGUAACUUGCACGGUAAGUGGAGGCCGCCGUACGCGCUCCGAUUAGAAGGGCCAACACGUACGUGCCGCACACGAAGCAAUGCAUUGGAAGGGUCGAGGGGGCUCCGGCCGGCCGGGCCAUCGUGGGGCUCAUCCCACAUGGACGUGCAUGCAUGGCUCAACAGGUGGAGAACACGCACCCCGUUCACUCCUGUCGGGUUGCCAUGCCACCUUUCUCGUCAUCUCUGCUCAGGCUUGCUUGCUCUAAUCCCUUUCUGACCGACGCUGUUAAGCAUAGUACUGUACUAUGCGCUUCUUGCAUGCAUGCACAUGCAUGGGUCAAAAACGAUCGGUGCACCACGUAGAGACCAUACCAGUACGCCGUACACAUACCUGAUACGGUACCAAAAGGAGUCCGAAAACCAUGACAGGGAUCGAGCCCAGCUGUACCACUUGGAUCCACUCGAUCAUCGUAUCCGAAUCCACAUCCACGAGAUCUUGGGCACGAUCACCUCGGAAGCCGCAAAACCUUUCUGAGACCUCGGUCACAUCACAUGGAGUGGGAGACUGUGCCUGCAUGCCGUCGCCAUGUCCAGAAGAGCACACUACAUGGACGGCAUCAUGGACGCAGCAGUAGCACCAUCGGCCAUCGAUCCAACUCGCCGUAACCUUUGCGCUUUCGGUGCGCCCAUGACUGACGCCCAGGCACAAACAAAUGCAACCUAUGUACAGUAGUACCUACCUAGGAGUAGGCUGCUGUAGGUCGGUAACUGUGUCGCAGUCUCACUGGUGCCUCCCUCUAUAUCUCUGCCUUGUUUUACUUUCUACUUUCACUGACGUGUAGUCCCGCGUUAGAGCGGUGCAGUAUGCGGCCGUGUUUGCAUACCGACGGGGCAGCAGGUACCAUCUUUAGGCCAACUCCACCGCGCCACCCCAAACGGACGUCCGUUUUGUCCGAAUUCUGUCCGUUUGGGUAGGGAUUUGGGGUCGUGUCCGGGCGUGUUCUGGGAUGCGGUGGCCGAGCGCCCAGCGCGCGGCCGCAUCCAUUUGCCCCAUCCUGUCCGCGUCUAUUUAAAAAACCAAAAGCAACGUUUCAAAUGCCAAGCCCUAGUUGAGGCCAGCAGCCCGGUUCAUCACGCCGGCAACAGAGCCAGCGGCCUACACGUCCAUCGCCGGCAUCAGCCAGCGGCCGGCAACACAGCCAGCCUCCAAAAUGAAUAGUUGUCCUCGCCGGCAACACAGCCAGCGGCCGGCAACACAGCCGGCCUCCAGAAUGAAUGUUUUCUCACCGGCACAUUGCCAGCGGCCCAGCGGGCGGGCGGCACCCAUGCCAGCCUCCAAAAAAGAACGGCCGACGCCGAUCGGACGACCUAGUUCAGGCCUUCGGCAUCGAGCAUCUCCUUCUGCCUGGCCUCGAACCAGGCCCUCGUCUUCUUGCUCAUCUUCGACAAGUCCACGCUCAUGAUCGCAAGGGCCACCUCCUUCGCUUUGGUGGCGGCAUUGGUGGCCUCGAUGUCGAGCUACCUCUGCCUGGCCUUGACGUUGUCGGCCUCGAUGUCGAGCUGCCUUUGCCGGGCCGCCUCCUCCAUGUCGAGCUGCCUUUGCUGGGCCGUCUCCUCCAUGUCGAUCUUCCUCCGCUUGGCCGCCUCCUUCAUCUCAAGCUUCUGUCUUUGAAGGUCUAGGUAUUGCUUCAUUUGCUCGUCCUUGCUUUGCCGCUUCUUCUCGUACCUCACAUCCUUUUGGAACAUCAUGCCAUGCAAAGUCUCAUGCAAGGCCAUGGAUGAGGCAUCACGUAUGUCGUCAACCUUAGAGUUGGUCUUGCCCCUCGGCCUCUUCAACGCCUCGCCAUCUCCACCUCCGGCGAACUUGGCGGUCUUCUUGCCUCUCUUCCUUUGUAGUUCACGGUAUUGGUCCAUGAACUUAGGGCAAUUGUUGAUGAUCGUCCAACAAUGCGUAAGAGUGAAUGGCUUGUCAUUGUGCCAGGCCUUGAAUGCCUCCAAAGAUUGAAAUGCCUACACCACAUGAUCAACAACAAGUGAACAUGCAAACAUAUACACGGCCGAAAUCUCAUGGCCGUAGCAAGGAAAGGGCUAGAAAGAGGAGAGCAUACCAUGUCCCCAACGUCGAGACCACUCACGGGCCGUGCUUCAACGCUCUCAAAUGCGGCGCAAUACUUGUUGCACUCUUGUUGGAUGAACAACCAUCUCUUUUGAAUCGAGCCGAUGCCACGGUUGCUUGUAAUUUGGUAGGGCUCAAACAUCUUCCUUUCAUGGAAUGUUUUGUGGACUCUCGUCUAAAAAACAAUGCCAUUUUGUUGCGCGCCGGUCCUCGGAUCUUGGCUAAUCUCCAUUCAAGCUUGGCAAAUCAACUUGUCCUCAUCUUGUGUAUAUGAACCCGUGCGAAUGCUCUUCCUCUUCUUUUGUGCUUCCGCUCUUUGGGUGAGCUCGUCGAUGAACAAUGGCGCCCCACUAAUAUCAACGUCAUUGCCUUCUUCUUCUUCUUCUUCUUCAUCACCAUCACCUUCGACAUAGAUGUCAUCGUCUUCACGCCACGAGUCACCAUGGUCGUAGUCAGCACGGUUGUCGGCCUCUUCAUUGGGGACGUACUGGGCGCGGCCAUCCUGACUUUGGGUCUCCUCGGGGUCGUAGGCACGGCCAUGCCCACCCUCGAAGAUCACGUCCUCCAUGUACUGGUUGUAGAAGGGGUUGUCGACCGUUGGCGUUGGGGUUGGCAUUCCGUCAAACAAGACGCCGGGGGCCGGCAUGGUGCCCGUGAACGGUGCCCGUGCCUGCUUUAUUUGCAUCUCGACGGACGGCCGCCUGCCGCUGCUGGACCCAGGCGUGACGUUGAGGUCGAUGACGGCCGCGGGGCGCGGUUUGGACGGCGCGAACAAGCCCACGUCCGGCGACGCCGAGAAACGGGUCUGGCCAUCGUGCCUUGGAGGAGGAAAGCCGGGCGACAUGGGCGCGGUGCGCGACGUCGGCGACUGGCAGUGCGUAGGCCGGGCGACCGACGAGCCUGUGCUCGCCGGGCCGACGGCCGCUGCAGGGAACCCGGCCGGACAGGCCAUGCCAAGCAUGAGGAUGGCGCGCGCUUUGUUGACGAGGUCCUCCUUCUCAUCGGCAGCAGCCUUGCGCCGCGCGGCCUCCAGCUCCUCGCACUGGGCGGCGAACUUGGCCGCGGCGGCAUUGACCUUGACGACCGCUCUCCGUUCCCUCCUCUUCGCCGAUUCCGCGUCCAACUUGGCGAUCUCCUCCGGCGUGCACUCCGACCGCGGCUUCCUUGGCGCCUUCUUCUUCACCUUUGCGGGCGGGUCGACAGCCAGGCCGCCAGAAGUCCGCGGGGCGUCGGCCAUGGACGGGGGAGAGAGGGGGCGGCGGGAGGGACGUGGGAGGGUUUGGGGGAAAUGGCGCCAAAUGGGCGUGGGGGGUUUUGGUUUCUCCCACCGACAGGCGGGCCAGGGGAGGACAAGCGCGCGCGUCCUGCCCGUCCGCGCGCUGUCCGUUUCACCCCAAAACCGGCGCAAACUUGGGCCGGGGAUGGGUCGAAAGCGGACACAAAGCGGACAAAAGUCCGUUUACGCACGCGCGCUGGGCCGCCUCGUUUGUCCCUUUUACCCCAAACGAACGGGGGCGGAGUUGGCCUUACCAGUUGUGACAAAAGUGGCGGGUUGGAGCGCGCGUGUGUGCAGUUCAGGCAGCUGGGUGGAUCCGUCGUGCGUGCCUUUUUAUCUGUACAGUCACGACUCAUGAGUACGGUUUACGUGGAGGAGGAGUUGCACGUUCUUACCACUGCCGUCAAAUUACCACGCUGCCCAUUGUCGUGGACCGGUGGUUAUUCAUCUCAACUACUCGAGGACGAGUAGUCUACAGUGCCAUGAGUUACUAUGCAAUAUAUGGACAUAUAGGAUCGAUCGAAGCCAUUGAAUUGAUUAAGAGCAAUUGACGAAAAUGCAAUACAAGCUGGCAAAUCCUUCUCAUUUCUUCUCACUCAAAGUGUAGUUCCAGCGUUGCUCUUGCUCACCAUGCAUGCAUGUGCUGAGUUGUGUAAAUUCCCGUGAAGCGACCCAACACAGACACUGCAUUGCACUGUUGUGAAAAUCGGACGUUUAAUUUGUCUUCGCUCGCUCGACUGGUCUGUCUCCUCCACGUACGAACUACGUGAUUUUGAUCCGAGGCAUGCCAUGUGCGGCUGCAUGGAAAAGAAGGCCUCAUGUCCUGCAAGCUAGCGAUCAGAGCUAGCUCCUCCACAGGCUCCGGCCGAACCUAACAUGCACCGUCCGAUUAGCUAUGAGCCUAUGACCAGCACGGAAAGAAGAAACGUGCCAAUAAAACUGAGCCGUACGUGCUGCCAAAUGAAUGUCUCCCCUCGUUCCGUUUUUCCUACUGGCAUUGACUGAGCAAUCGAUUGGGUCGUACAGUCAUCAGUGCUCACAUGAAUGGCACUACAUGUGACGUUCGACACUAGUUAACUUAAUAUGAGAGCAAGAGAUCGACAUAGAAUGAAAGGUACAAAUGAGCUACUACUACGUAGUCGUCAAUUAGGCGGAAAUCCCUUUUGGAGCUUGGCCUCCAAAUUCAAAAUUGAAAUUUUAUCGAAAUUCAUAUUUUUACAUUUCAAAAAAUUCUAAAGAAAAAUAUAGAUAUACAUGAAGGUAUAACAUACAUGUGUGUAAAUUUUCAGUUCAAAAUACAUUGAAAUGAGGGUUGUGCAAAAAAGACAAAUCUGAGGCUAUUUAACACAUGAUACUAUUCAUCUUCCAGGCCAUGAAUUUGUCUUUUUUGUAUAGGUCGCAACUCAAGGUAUUUCAUUAUGAAAUUUUACACACAUGUGAUAACAUCCUUAUAUACACGCAUAUUUUUUUUCAGAAUUUUUUGAACCAUAAAAUUUUGAAUUUGAAUUUUUCAAGAAUAAAGGCCUCCAUGGAGCUCGGCCUCCAAAACGCCCCUCUCUCAAUUAGGCCCCUUCAGAAACUAACGGUGAUCACUAUGCAUGCCCUGAGAUCAUCAUUGUCAUCUCAUAUUUAGUUUUCCUCUCCUUUCUGAAAUCGUGCUGUUGGCCUUGCGUGCUGCGCGCCAACGUUCACCAAUGAACUGGAAUGUCCCGCAUGCUGAAUUCGAUGCUUGGCGCCAUUUCUUUAGAGUACACGUCCAGACAGUAGCAGCAGACGCUCGACAUCGAUCACAUGAUCGAUGACAAACCUCCGAUCUCCGGCCGAUCAAUUCCUCCACCAAACCAUGACAUGUACAUAAGUACAUUCAAGAAACGACACGGGGACGGGGCAACGAUCUGUCGAAUCACGCGGCACCCUAACGCCAUGCCGCGCGGCUUCCAGAAGAAAAGACCCCGCACAAUGCAGGGAACACUAAUUUUUUUUUUGAGGGGAAACACAAUCAUAUAUUAAACAUAAAGCAGAAUGUCAUCCGAUACAACAUCUAGGAUAAAACCAGGCGGCACACCAGUCCACACCUGACAUCUCUCCUCUCCAACACCAACCCUAGCGAGCUUAUGGGCAACAGAAUUUGCCGAGCGCCGAACCCAGCCCACCUUGAAGUCCAUGAACUCCCCCAGCGACUUCUUUACCUCUUCAACCCACGGCCCGACCGAAGAGAAGUUCUUUUCAGGGCUCAUGAUCAUCUUCGCCAGAGCCUGGCAGUCCAGCUCCACAUGAAUCCUGUCAACAUUCAACUCCCUCGCCAUCUUGAUCGCCUUCAGGCACGCCAUGAGCUCAGCACGUUCGGGAUCAGCACAUUGUGGGAAGAAGAAGCAGGCCGAAGCCACAUAGCCGCCAUUGUGGUCACGUAGGAUAGUCCCACCACCGCCCUUGUUCUGUUGUUUCUCGAGAGCACCAUCAGCAUUAGCCUUGAUCCAUCCAUCUUCUGGAGCUUCCCACCGCUGCACCGACCUUGCCGUCGUCCACCUAGCAGGGGCAGCAUGAGCUUCUCUCCACGACGCCAUNNNNNNNNNNNNNNNNNNNNNNNNNNNNNNNNNNNNNNNNNNNNNNNNNNNNNNNNNNNNNNNNNNNNNNNNNNNNNNNNNNNNNNNNNNNNNNNNNNNNNNNNNNNNNNNNNNNNNNNNNNNNNNNNNNNNNNNNNNNNNNNNNNNNNNNNNNNNNNNNNNNNNNNNNNNNNNNNNNNNNNNNNNNNNNNNNNNNNNNNNNNNNNNNNNNNNNNNNNNNNNNNNNNNNNNNNNNNNNNNNNNNNNNNNNNNNNNNNNNNNNNNNNNCCAUAGGUGGCAUGAAUCAAAACCUCCCUCUCCUCUUCACUCGCCGAGGCAAAUCAUGAAAUCAGCCAGUCAGCCAACGCUCGCUGGGAGUUCACAUGACCGGGCGGGGAGGCCGUCUCAACACCCAUAGCAGACCACAGCAGCUUCCAGAACUGGAUGGAAUGGUAGCAGCCCCAGAACCGGUGAACCAAAGACUCCUCCCGGCCACACACCGGGCAGAAAACUCCAGCCUUGAUCCUGCGACGGUGAAGCUCAACGCCCACAACCAAGCCAUUCCGAAUCAAGCGCCAGACAUGUAUCUUUGCUUUGCCAGGAGCAGAGGUAUCCCACAAGGCCAUAAAGCCUUUAUGCUUCGCGACUGAACUAGAUCCUUCCGGCUGACCUAACCGACGUUUCUUCCUUUCCAUACACAGGUGAUACGCCGAGCGGACAGUGAAGAUACCAUUGCGAGUGAAGUUCCAAGCCAAGUAAUCCUCAGUCCCCGGGCCCCCAACGGCAAUCUGCCUAAUGUCGUGAGCAUCAUCUGCAGAAAACAUAUCAGUCACCUUUGCAUCAUCCCAUGAAGAUCCAUCUGUAGUCAAUAAGUCUGCAACCUUGGUGACUCCCUAAACAUACCGCUGGCCCAGUGGCCGCAUGUGUCCAGCCCUCAGUAUCCAGUUACUAUGAUGAAUAUUGAUAGAGGACCCAUCCCCAAUCCGCCAAAUAGAUCCCUCCCGCAAAAGAUCACGCCCAUGCAAGAUGCUUCUGAAAGUGAAAGAGCCUGCUGCUGGGCAAGUGGCAUUCAGAACAGAACAAUGCGGGUAGUACCUGGCCUUCAAGACACGAGCACACAAGGAGGAUGUGUAUUGAUGCAGGCGCCACGCUUGCUUGGCCAACAUGGCUUGGUUAAAAGCCUCCGGGUCCCUAAACCCCAGGCCACCUUCCUUCUUCGACAUACACAUCUUGUCCCACGAGAUCCAAUGUACCUUCCUCUCACCAUUGAUUGUUCAUGUGUAUGUUUGCCGCUUGACGGCCGGGACGCGUAUCUGCGUGCUCCGCCACUCGCCGGCACGAUGCUAUAGCUAGCGUCCGCUACAGGUAGCGGCGCUCGCAUGAAUAUGCUACAGCCCAGUCUAGUGAGCACUAAAACUAACAUGCUAGCAAUAUGGUCAUUUUUUUUCAAAUUUGUUUCUUUGAGAGGUCAAAAUUCCUCUUUUGCCACAUGCUCCUCACAUGUCCAAACAUGAUCUCAAGAACAAUUUUCAUGUUAUUUUCUCUAAUAUUUAUUGGCUAAACUGAUAGACGCAACCCUCUAGUAACUUCCCUAGAUAUAUCAAAGAUAUUGUGUGCAAAGAUAUUUAAAAACAAAAUGUAAUGCAUUGACAAAUGUCUAAAGUAAUUUGCGGAGUUAUGUGAUAUCCAUUUUAAUAAACUAUAUUGUUUGAUAACUCGAAAACAAAUUUUUAAAAAUUAUCAUGACAAUAUAAAAUCGUGUUUAGCGUAGGAAACAUAUUUAAAAACUAAAUAUUAUAAAUGUAUCUAAAUAUGGAUCCAACUAUAAAGCGAUGUGAUAAUGAUGUAAAUUCGACUAGUUUUGACUCAGAACUAUAUCAAAAGAUGUAUUAAUAAAAAAAAUACUACAUUUACCUAAAAUAAAAGCUCACAUGAAGCAAAAGAGUUUAAUAUAAAUAUGGUGGAAUUCACCACCGACAUUGAAACCGCCAACGGGUGUCCCAAGGUACCAAGUUUAUUAGAAGGACAGAUAAGCACGUACGAUGACGGGGGCUCCCACAUUCAUGUCAUAUGUGAGUCAUUAGAAAUCGGUUAUCCUCUGCGAUUGACGCCGCGGCCAUCGGCAGCACAAUGCCAGGAAUAGAUACAAUUAAGACGCACCCAAUAAUCUCGCAUGAAACAAAUAAAAGAGAAAACCUGACAUCCAAAACAAAAAAGGCUAAUCAACAAAUGAACAAUGUUCAUCUUACAAACCCCCAAAGUGGCUUUGACACAAUAUUAUAAGCAAUAAGAGAAGAGUCAUCUUAAAACAGACAUGAUAAGGCUUAUUAAACACGACAACAGAACGACAGAUGUCAGAAAAGAAGUUUACAACGGAAUGUACAUGCCUGCCAAUGAGCGAGUUGGCUCAUAACCAAGAAAUCGCACAAGAAAAAUGUAGCGAUGGAAAAAGUGGUCAUUGACUUAUAAGCACCAUUCAUGUCAGCGUAAGAGUUAAAAGUCCACCCAAUAAGGUGAUAACCUCAUAUUUAAAGGGUCUAAACGGCUUCGUUUUUUCCCAACGUCAAGAAUAUCUAAUAAACAAUGCCCCCGACACAAAUCGAGUUGAAAAACAAGGUAGGCGCUCACCUAUCAAGCCACAGGAUGUCGAUGCUGUUACUGAAAUGUGACAAAGCAAUGUUUGAUGACACAUUGAACCACUGCCUCAUUGCAUCACAAAAAAAGUGAAGCACAAACACAUUCAAGAAAGAAAAAUUGCCUCUCGAGAUGAGGAAAAAGAGUAGUUGUAUCGCUCAUAACCCUCAUUGAUCUUGCGGAACUAGAAGUGGCAGAACACGACCAGCUCUAACACCUUAUCCUCUUUUUUAUUUUUGAAAUGUCUCUUAUUUAAGUCUAUUUUCUAAGGGAGACAAAGAUUCCCAUGUCACCCCUAGUGAAAUGGCAUGUUCGAGUUGUAGCCUAUUUUGUAUUAUUUUUGGAUAUUUUCUUUCCCUCCUUUUCCCUUUAAUUUAAGGACACAACUUUUAUAUAUAUGAACUUUUUAAAAUGUACAUACAUUUUUAAAAUAGGUGAUAUACCGUUUUGAUUAAUUAGAAUUAUUUUUCAAAUAGACAAUACAGAACGACCAUUAUAAAUACAAGAUAAAUAAUUUGAAUAUAAAAGACAAACAUGUUCAAUUAUAUUUAAUUAUCUAUUUAUUUGAUAUAUCAUUUAUAUUUUUAAUGUACUAUUAUUUUUUAGAUUAAAAAUGGAAAAUGCUAUUCUUACGUAAAGUUUGUACAAAAUCUCUAUGUACUAGUGUGUUCCCAUCUAUAGCCGCUUCCAUGAUUUUAGGAAACUGCCAUGAAAUGAACUAGUAGUAUGUAAUUUUUUUUAUUUAGAAUCCGUACAUAAGAAUAGCAUUGCUCGAAAAAAAUUAAAAGAGGGAGUGCGCCCGCCGAUCUAACCCUUUGUUUUUGGAACGGAGAACCGAUCUGACGCUUCAAGGGAUUCCGGCAGUAAGAAGUUUGGCAGCUGUGCAACUUGGAAAAACUAUUUUAAAGUUAAAAAACUGGUUAAAUACAAACAUAUAUUUUUCACAUACCUGUCAUGUUCCAUGUUGUAAUAUAAUCAUUUGUAGGCUACACAUAAAGUCAAAUACUGGUCCAAAUACAGUAGAAUAUAUAAGCCCCAUGUUUUUCUUCGAACAAAAUAUAAGCUCCUCCUGAUAAGUGUGUUUGUCUCUUUGUGUGCACUCAUAUGAAAUUAUCGUUUUUGACCAAAAAAUCAUGCAUAAUAAUAAAGCACGGAUUGACUCCCUGGGUUCACCGUCACAAUACGCUUCUUCUCGUGAUUCUACACUUUCAGUUUAAAUUUAAAACAUAUACGUGAGAUGGUAUUAAAACCGUUUCAUUCGCCGUCCCUAUAAAACGUUUCAUCCGUGCAACGCUCGGUUGGGCUUAGUCUAACGAGAUAGGCAAGUGGGCUUUUUUAUUGGAAGAUUUCUUAUAUGGGUUGCUAGGUGACUUGGCUCGUCCGAAUCAGGUGUACGCGAGGUUGCUUGGAUCGAAUUCACAUCCUCCCGUUCCUUUCUAUCCACCUCGCUUGUUUAGAUGUAAUACUACCAGUUAAUAUACCUACGGAAGCUUCGUGAUCAACAAGUGGCCUCAUAAAUCAACAAGCAGACAAAGGGUACCCCAAGGGAAGGAGGUGAUGAGAAUAGCACGAUAGAAAUUGAAACCGAGGAACAGACUAUGGUCUACGUCAUGGUAAUAGAGUCUUUAAUUGAUCUCAAUGAACCUAUUGUCCGGGAACUUGGCAACCACUUUUCUGGUGUGAAUUGAGACACAACAGACUAAGUAAAGAUUUAAUUUCGAUGGUGCCCUCUAAUUGCGCGACGUCGAUAACUCGAAAUAAUCAAUAUGUGUAUGAUUACUUGGCUAGGAUUCACGUCGCCCUACAUCAACGUCCGCCGCUUGAUUUAUCGCAGUUGUUGUUUAAUCAAUAGCGUGGCAUGGGUCAUAGGCAUGUGGUUUUUUCUCCGGUUGCAACGCACGGGCAAUUUUCCUAGUCUAUAUAAAUGUAUACGUAUAUGCACAUAUUUUCCCAUAAUUUUUAAAAUGUAAAAACAAAGUUUUCCAACGGAAGAAAUAAAAUGCUACCCGGAACCUGGUAGGAAAAUCUGAAAAAUGCCUUUUCCGGGGCCACCAAGGAUAGCUCGCGAACCGUCGAGCCUCAGUCGCCUGCCCGUGCUGUGUACAUACCACCACUAUCUGUUUCUCGACCGAUCGCAGCAGCAGAAUCCAUCCCCCACUCGUGGCUGCCCUUCUGCUCCCUCAUCGCACCCACCUGCAAAAAAAAA
rnacentral:lncRNA from 1 species